rnacentral:lncRNA from 1 species
UUCUUAUUUUGUGCCGAAGCACUUUUUAAAGCACAGACUGAAACAGGUGAAAUCAAAGGGCAUUACUUGAAUGCUACUGCAGGUACAUGCGAAGAAAUGAUCAAAAGAGCUGUAUUUGCUAGAGAAUUGGGCGUUCCGAUCGUAAUGCAUGACUACUUAACGGGGGGAUUUACCGCAAAUACUACCUUGGCUCAUUAUUGCCGAGAUAAUGGUCUACUUCUUCACAUCCACCGUGCAAUGCAUGCGGUUAUUGAUAGACAGAAGAAUCAUGGUAUCCACUUCCGGGUAUUAGCAAAAGCGUUACGUAUGUCUGGUGGAGAUCAUAUUCACUCUGGUACCGUAGUAGGUAAACUUGAAGGUGAAAGAGACAUAACUUUGGGCUUUGUUGAUUUACUGCGUGAUGAUUUUGUUGAACAAGAUAGAAGUCGCGGUAUUUAUUUCACUCAAGAUUGGGUCUCUUUACCAGGUGUUCUACCUGUGGCUUCAGGAGGUAUUCACGUUUGGCAUAUGCCUGCUCUGACCGAGAUCUUUGGGGAUGAUUCCGUACUACAGUUCGGUGGAGGAACUUUAGGACAUCCUUGGGGUAAUGCGCCAGGUGCCGUAGCUAAUCGAGUAGCUCUAGAAGCAUGUGUAAAAGCUCGUAAUGAAGGACGUGAUCUUGCUCGGGAAGGUAAUGAGAUUAUUCGCGAGGCUUGCAAAUGGAGCCCGGAACUAGCUGCUGCUUGUGAGGUAUGGAAAGAGAUCGUAUUUAAUUUUGCAGCAGUGGACGUUUUGGAUAAGUAAAAACAGUAGACAUUAGCAGAUAAAUUAGCAGGAAAUAAAGAAGGAUAAGGAGAAAGAACUCAAGUAAUUAUCCUUCGUUCUCUUAAUUGAAUUACAUUACAAUUUAAUUCGGCUCAAUCCUUUUAGUAAAAGAUUGGGCCGAAUACAACUAAGAUUCUAUUGCAUAUAUUUUGAUCAAGAUUUGAAAUACAAAAUCUAGAAAACUAAAUCAAAAUCUAAGACUCAAAUCUUUCUAUUAUUGUCUUGGAUCCACAAUUAAUCCUACGGAUCCUUAGGAUUGGUAUAUUCUUUUCUAUCCUGUAGUUUGUAGUUUCCCUGAAUCAAGCCAAGUAUUCCAACUCUUUCUACCCAUCCUGUAUAUUGUCCCCUUUGUUCCGUGUUGAAAUAGAACCUUAAUUUAUUACUUAUUAUUAGAUUUUAGAUUGUUAGAUUAGUUAGUGAUUAGAUAUUAGUAUUAGACGAGAUUUUACGAAUUUUUUUUAUUUCUUUAUAUUUAUAAGAGAGGACAAAUCUCUUUUUUUCGAUGCGAAUUUGACACGACAUAGGAGAAGCCGCCCUUUAUCAAAAAUUCUAUUAUUUUUAUAUUCUUUUUAAUAAUAAAAGGGGGUUCCAACAUAUUAAUAUAUAGUGAAGUGUUCCCCCAGAUUCAGAACUUUUUUUGAAUACUCACAAUCCGUAUUAGUUAAUAAUCCUAGUGAUUGGAUUUCUAUGCUUAGUCUGAUAGGAAAUAAGAUAUUCAAAUAAAGAAUUUUAUAGCGAAUGACUAUUCAUCUAUUGUAUUUUCAUGCAAAUAGGGGGCAAGAAAACUCUAUGGAAAGAUGGUGGUUUAAUUCGAUGUUGUUUAAGAAGGAGUUCGAACGCAGGUGUGGGCUAAAUAAAUCAAUGGGCAGUCUUGGUCCUAUUGAAAAUACCAGUGAAGAUCCAAAUCUAAAAGUGAAAAACAUUCAUAGUUGCAGUAAUGUUGAUUAUUUAUUCGGCGUUAAAGACAUUUGGAAUUUCAUCUCUAAUGACACUUUUUUAGUUAGUGAUAGGAAUGGGGACAGUUAUUCCAUCUAUUUUGAUAUUGAAAAUCAUAUUUUUGAGGUUGACAACGAUCAUUCUUUUCUGAGUGAACUAGAAAGUUCUUUUUAUAGUUAUCGAAACUCGAGUUAUCUGAAUAAUGGAUUUAGGGGCGAAGAUCCCUACUAUAAUUCUUACAUGUAUGAUACUCAAUAUAGUUGGAAUAAUCACAUUAAUAGUUGCAUUGAUAAUUAUCUUCAGUCUCAAAUCUGUAUAGAUACUUCCAUUAUAAGUGGUAGUGAGAGUAACGGUGACAGUUACAUUUAUAGGGCCAUUUGUAGUGGUCAAAGUCUAAAUAGUAGUGAAAACGAGGGUUCCAGUAGACGAACUCGCACAAAGGACAGUGAUUUAACUAUAAGAGAAAGUUCUAAUGAUCUCGAGGUAACUCAAAAAUACAAGCAUUUGUGGGUUCAAUGCGAAAAUUGUUAUGGAUUAAAUUAUAAGAAAUUUUUGAAAUCAAAAAUGAAUAUUUGUGAACAAUGUGGAUAUCAUUUGAAAAUGAGUAGUUCGGAUAGAAUUGAACUUUUGAUCGAUCCGGGUACUUGGGAUCCUAUGGAUGAAGACAUGGUCUCGCUGGAUCCCAUUGAAUUUCAUUCGGAGGAGGAGCCUUAUAAGGACCGUAUUGAUUCUUAUCAAAGAAAGACAGGAUUAACCGAGGCUGUUCAAACAGGCAUAGGCCAACUAAACGGCAUUCCCGUAGCAAUUGGGGUUAUGGAUUUUCAGUUUAUGGGGGGUAGUAUGGGAUCCGUAGUCGGAGAGAAAAUCACCCGUUUGAUUGAACACGCUGCCAAUCAAAAUUUACCUCUUAUGAUAGUGUGUGCUUCUGGGGGGGCGCGCAUGCAGGAAGGAAGUUUGAGCUUGAUGCAAAUGGCUAAAAUAUCGUCUGCUUUAUAUGAUUAUCAAUUAAAUAAAAAAUUAUUUUAUGUAUCAAUCCUUACAUCUCCGACAACUGGUGGAGUGACAGCUAGUUUUGGUAUGUUGGGGGAUAUCAUUAUUGCCGAACCCAAUGCCUACAUUGCAUUUGCAGGUAAAAGAGUAAUUGAACAAACAUUGAAUAAAACAGUACCCGAAGGUUCACAAGCAGCUGAAUACUUAUUCCAGAAGGGUUUAUUCGACCUAAUUGUACCACGUAAUCUUUUAAAAAGCGUUCUGAGUGAGUUAUUUAAGCUCCACGCCUUUUUUCCUUUGAAUCAAAAGUCAAGCAAAAUCAAGUAGAGCACUAAGUUCAAUUAUUUUUUUUGUGUUUGUAGCAAAAAGUAGUUAGUUUAUCGGAAUCAAAGUAAAUAAGAUAAUAAUGGCCUUUUCUUUGGUGAUAGAAGAUCGAAUUGUAGAAAGAAUUAAAACGAAAGUUGAGGAUAACUCUUUUUUUGACCUAUAUUCCUGAUUACGAAUCAAGAAACCUUUAUCACCAAGAGUGAGUUCUUCCUUUCGUGAAAUUAGUAAAAUAAAACGAAUUUGGUCUUGUCUUAGGUAUAUAAUUUGAAAUUUCAAUAGAGAUAAUAGAGUUUUGUAUCUUUCUCUAUCUACCGAAAAACCAUUUUAGCUAAAAAUCCAUGUUGGGUCGGAUUCGAAUGAAUCCGUCGAUAAUCUGUAAAAAACUCUUUAUCUAUUUUUAGAAAAGUAGAAGACAAGAACAAAAGACAAAGAAAUGAAGAAAAAUAAUAAAGUUUAUUAUCAUACAUAUCUUUCUCAUGGAGGAGAUGAAUAAGUCCAUUUAUUUAGUUCUACAGUUCUACAUUCUUUGCACUUAUUCUUAUUAUACGUACUCAGUUAGAUUUAGAUAUAUCGAUACUUCGAUCUAUACUAAGAAUUUCAAAUUCUUCAAAUUCUAUUAAUAAUAAAUAUUAUCUAAUAUCUAAUUAGAAUUCAAAUUCUUAAUUUAAUUAUAAUUAUUACAAGAUAUCUUUAUUUAUAUAAUAACAUAAUAACAGAUACAAAUAGUAAAUCGAGGUACCCCUUCUAUGACAAAUUUGAACCUUCCAUCUAUUUUUGUGCCGUUAGUAGGCCUAGUCUUUCCGGCAAUUGCAAUGGCUUCUUUAUUUCUUCAUGUUCAAAAAAACAAGAUUGUUUAGAUCCGCUGGGACCCAAUCUCAUCCAUUUUUUUUUUUGAAAACGUGGACUUGUAUCAUAACACGGAUAUCUAUUUAUUGGAGUAUAGUAUAACAUGUGAUUUCCACCGAACAUAAAGGAAAAAACUCUUAUGCCCGCAGAAACAUGAUAUAUGGAUAUAUCAAUUCUAGCAAUUUUCAAAUAGAUCAGGAUCUCUGGAUGGCUGAAAUGUAGUCGGUGAAUCUAUAUGUAUAUCGAUAUGUAUAGUGGGAUCGUAUUAAAUAAAGAGUAUGUUAUUAUUUUAGAUUUAACCAAUUUGAUGAAUUACUCCUAAAGGUUGACAUCAAACUAGUGCUAGUUCACCUCAAACUAGUGCUAGUUGAUGAGAGUUACUUCGGAAACAAAAAAGUAAAGUCAAAUUUUUCUGGGGUAUUAUCUCAAUUCCAAUAAAAUGCAAUCGAGUAAAGUAUGACUUGGCGAUCAGACGAUAUAUGGAUAGAACUUAUAACGGGGUCUCGAAAAAUAAGUAAUUUCUGCUGGGCCUUGAUCCUUUUUUAGGUUCAUUAGGCUUCUUAUUAGUUGGAACUUCCAGUUAUCUUGGUAGAAAUUUGCUAUCUUUUUUUCCGCCUCAGCAAAUCAUUUUUUUUCCACAAGGAAUCGUGAUGUCUUUCUACGGAAUUGCGGGUCUCUUUAUUAGCUCUUAUUUGUGGUGCACAAUUUCCUGGAAUGUAGGUAGUGGUUAUGAUCGAUUCGAUAGAAAGGAGGGAAUAGUCUGUAUCUUUCGUUGGGGAUUUCCGGGAAAAAAUCGUCGCAUAUUCCUCCGAUUCCUUAUAAAAGAUAUUCAGUCCGUUAGAAUAGAAGUUAAAGAGGGUAUUUAUGCUCGUCGUGUUCUUUAUAUGGACAUCCGAGGCCAGGGGUCCAUUCCCUUGACCCGUACUGAUGAGAAUUUGACUCCACGAGAAAUUGAACAAAAGGCUGCUGAAUUAGCCUAUUUCUUGCGUGUACCAAUUGAAGUAUUUUGAUAAAUUGAGAAUCAGAACGUUCAUUCAAUUAAAGAAAACGUAUAUGAAAGAACCAUAAAACGAAACUCUUUUUAUGGUCUUUAUGUGCACGCAAUUCAAUAACAAAUAACAAAUCGAAAUAAUAGAUUCAUCUCAGACGGCAAACCAUUUCGAAAGCAAGAAUUUUUUUUAGUUCAAUAUUUGUUGGAAUUGACACUUUAGAUCCAGAUAGAUCGUAUCUUGUAAAUUUGAAAUUCUUUCUUUUGUAUUCUUUAAUGACCAACAAUUGGAUUUCUUAAUUAAAUACUGAGAACUAGCCAAUUUAUCCUUUGCUAGUCAUUUUUUUUUUAUCAUCCUAAUAUCUUUCCCUCAAUUAUUCUAUUCCUGACUAUGGGUAAUCAAUGAAAUUUUUUCGAAAUAUUGGAUAUUUUGAUAGCAAAGGAGUUCUUUCGUCUCAAAAUCUGAAUAAUAUUCAUUACUUAAAGUGGUUCUUUCGGUCAUUCAUCGAAAGGAUACACUUAAUUUUUAAUUUGACCAAUUGAGAUAUCAGGAAACAAUAUUCUCAAUUUCUUCAUUCGAAGUGAAUUCUUAGCCUAUUUCUGUAUUCUUUCUAGAUUCAAAGACUAACCACAAAAUCACAAAGAAAAUAGAUUCAUAAGUUCGAUACCUUGUAUAAAACUCAUGUGUGUAAGAAAUAUUCGAUCGCAUAGAGUGUACGAAUGGGUUGAUUAACAAUUUACAGACGAAAAAAUGGCAAAAAAGAAAGCAUUCACUCCUCUUUUCUAUCUUGCAUCUAUAGUAUUUUUGCCCUGGUGGAUUUCUUUCUCAGUUAAUAAAUGGCUGGAAUCUUGGGUUACUAAUUGGUGGAAUACUGGGCAAUCCCAAAUUGUCUUGAAUAAUAUUCAAGAAAAGAGUCUUCUAGAAAAAUUCAGAGAAUUAGAGGAACUCCUCUUCUUGGACGAAAUGAUCAAGGAAUACUCGGAAACACAUCUCGAAGAGUUUGGGAUAGGAAUCCAUAAAGAAACGAUCCAAUUAAUCACGAUACAAAAUGAGAAUCGUAUGGAUACGAUUUUGCACUUCUCAACAAUAUAAUCUGGUUUGGUAUUCUAAGCGGGUAUUCAAUUUUGGGUAAGGAAAACUUGUUAUCUUAACUCCUUGGGCUCAGGAAUUCCUAUAUAACUUAAGUGACACAGCAAAAGCUUGUGUAUUCUUCUAGUAAGUGAGUUUUUUCUCGGAUAUCAUUCACCCCCCAGGUUGGGAAUUCGUUAUACGCUAUAUCUAAACGAGGGUUGGAGUUGUUGCGAAUGAGCAACUAUAACUAUUCUUGUUUUGCAAUCCUUCCGUAAUUUUUGAUACAUGGUUUUCAUAUGGCUUUUCGUUAUUUAACUAUUCUGUCCUCCGGCAUUUUACUGCUUUAAUGAUUCAAUACUGAAGAUAAAGGAAGCCAUUAUAUUAAUCUAAUNNNNNNNNNNNNNNNNNNNNNNNNNNNNNNNNNNNNNNNNNNNNNNNNNNNNNNNNNNNNNNNNNNNNNNNNNNNNNNNNNNNNNNNNNNNNNNNNNNNNNNNNNNNNNNNNNNNNNNNNNNNNNNNNNNNNNNNNNNNNNNNNNNNNNNNNNNNNNNNNNNNNNNNNNNNNNNNNNNNNNNNNNNNNNNNNNNNNNNNNNNNNNNNNNNNNNNNNNNNNNNNNNNNNNNNNNNNNNNNNNNNNNNNNNNNNNNNNNNNNNNNNNNNNNNNNNNNNNNNNNNNNNNNNNNNNNNNNNNNNNNNNNNNNNNNNNNNNNNNNNNNNNNNNNNNNNNNNNNNNNNNNNNNNNNNNNNNNNNNNNNNNNNNNNNNNNNNNNNNNNNNNNNNNNNNNNNNNNNNNNNNNNNNNNNNNNNNNNNNNNNNNNNNNNNNNNNNNNNNNNNNNNNNNNNNNNNNNNNNNNNNNNNNNNNNNNNNNNNNNNNNNNNNNNNNNNNNNNNNNUUAUGGUGGUCCACACUACCUUAGAGAAUUAUUUAUUCAAAAUUUCUACUAUUAUCAAAGAAUCAAUCGAUUAGUGACAUCCAAAAAAAUAAUGAAUAUAGUUGGAUGAUAAGUAUUGUACUCAGCCUUAUCAACUUAGGGGUUCAAAUUUGGAUUUGAAGUUAAUUAAUUAUCCUCAAAGUAGGAUCAAUCUAUAUUAAUCAUUAUUAAAAGAAAUAAUUAUCUCCUUAAAAUACAUAAACAACAAAAUAUGUCUUUUUUUAAAAGGUAACAUUGUGUAUAUUCUUUGAAACCAGUGCUUGGGUUUCACUAACCAUAUUUACAGCUUGUCAAAAAGUAAGAAAAACUAAAUUGGAAUCCUAACAGGAACCUAUGAUAUUCUAAUGGAUUCAGUGUCCUCUAAAUACAGUUACUUGCAUCAGAAACAAAAAAGCCUGAUACAAUUUAGUUUGACCGUUUGGAGAUCAUAAUUCUUACUCUCAAGCAUCUAGCAUUGCUUUAUUUCUAAACACUCCACAAAUACAAGCUGGGACAAUCCUCCAUCUAUGUCUAUCUGCAACUCAUACCCCUACUUCUCCCCAACUAUACAAAAGAUGAGUGAUUCUGUUAGGCAUAGCCCAAGCAAAACCCCUGAGACUAAUGAAAAUCAUCCAUAGUUGGAUGUUAUUCUGCACUGGAUAAACAGAUGAUUGACUGUCUCAACCUCUUCCCCACAUAAAUAGCAUCUAUAAUACAUGGAGAACUUCCUUUUCUUGAGAUUUUCAUGUGUUAAAAUUGCUUCUCUUGCCAGAAGUCAAUUGAAACUCACACCUUGAAAGGGAUUUUAGGUUUCCAAAUCUUCUACCAAGGACAAAGAGAAGGUUGUUGCCAUCUUGAUUUAGCAACUUAUAUGCAGAGUUUACCUUGAAUGUGCCUUUUUUAUUUUUUUUCUCCACCAUAAUAUAUCAUGUUCAUACCCUUGUUCCUGUAAAAGCUUCCAACCUACAAAUAAAAUCCGACACGGUCUCGAUUUCUCAGUCAUUGAAAUUCCUUCUAAACUUGUAAUUCCAUUCAUGCUGUGUCCAAACCUCAGCUAUACUCACUUGUUUAUUCACUGCGAAGUCAUGCAUCUCCGAAAAAAAUACUCUACAAGCUAAAGUUGUCCAACUAUUUAUCCUCCCAAAAUGAAGUCUUGAUUCCAUUGCCUACCCUAUUAGUCCUAUUCAUCUUCGAGAGAGGCAAAAGAUUCUGAUGGACUUCCAUAGGCUUACCCCAUAUAGUGUAAGUACCUCUUUUGUCAUCCAUUUGUUCUCUUAUCCAUAUUUUGCUUGAAUUACUUACUCCAAGACCUUCAUGUUUCUUCCCACAGAGAAACUUGUUCCACUUAGAUAAAUGUUUUACAAUGGAUUCAUUUUACUUUGUCCCUUUCCAUAAGAAAUCCCUCCUAAUUUUGUCAAGUCUUUGUAUCACCCCGUUAGGAAUAGGGAAGAUGGACAUCAUGUAAGUAGGUAAGGCAUCCAAAACAGAAUUAAUGAGAGUGAUUCUGCCUCCCAAGGAGAUAUAUUUAUAUAUCCAUCCCGUAAGUUUUUUCUCACACUUUUCAAUCACUAAGUUCCAAUGUUCCAAGCCUUCGAUUUGGAUCCUAAGGGCAUGCCCAGAUAAAUGGUAGGCAAAGAACCUACUUCCCCUCCCAAAAUCCAUUAUAGUUCCUCCAUAUUAUAAACAUCAUUAAUAGGAUACAACUGACUCUUUCUCCAGUUGAUAUGUAAACUUGAAACUCCUUCAAACAACACCAAAAUUGAUCUUAGAACCAAAAGUUGUCCCUCAUUAGCAUCACGAAAUAUUAAGGUGUGAUCUGCAUGCUGUAAAUGAGUGACUUCCAUGUGGCCAUUUGAUAUUGAGGUUUGAGUUGUGGCUACCUCAAAACUCCUGAUGCAUUCGUUCUCUCUAGCCACCUUUAUCAUGUUAUUUGGGCCCCCCAUAACAAUGAUAAAAAGGAAAGGAUAUAGGGGAUCUCCCUGCCUCAGACCCCUUUGAGCAGGGAAAAAACUUUGCGGUGAACCAUUUAUAAGGACUGAGAAUCUGACAGUGGAGAUGCAAUACUUGAUCCACUGAAUCCACCAUCUUCCAAAACCCAUACAUGCAAAAAUAUUUGACAAAAACUUCCAGUUCACAUGGCCAUAUGCCUUUUCUAUGUCCAAUUUGCACAAAUUUCCUGCCUUUCCUUGGGUUAUUCUUGAAUCUACUACUUUGUUUGCAAUUAGAAUGGCAUCCAUUAUUUGUCGAUUUUUUAUGAAUGCCAUCUGUUGAGCAUCCACUAGCUUGUCAACCACUUUCUUCAGACUUUCAGUCGACACUUUGGAUAACAACUUAUAUACACUUCUAAUGAGGCUGAUGGGCCUAAAAUCUCUCAGUUCCUUGGCACCAUUCUUCUUGGGAUCAAAGCAAUGUAGGUGGCAUUAAAGCUCUUAUCAAAGAUAUUGUGAGAAUGGAAAUUCUUAAAGGUAUCUAUGAUAUCCUUCUUCACUAAAUCCUAACACUUGAUAAAAAAAAACCAUUGUGUAACCAUCUGGACCAAGAGCUUUGUCCAUAGCACACAUCUUGAGACAUACUAGUACUUCUUACUCUUCAAACCACCUUUGUAGCAUUUCAUUUUCAGCUUCAGUUACCAUUGGACAAUUGAUUAGGUUGCUGGAAGGUCUUCUAUAUGGGGUUUCUAAAUAAAGCUUCUAACAAAAACCAAUAAUCUCCCCUUUAAUUCUCUCUGGGUUCUUCACUAUUUCAUCUUGAAUUAUUAAUUGAUGAAUGUUGUUGCAUCUUUUUUGUGCAUUGGCAACUUUGUACAAAUAGUUGGUAUUUUUGUCCCCCUCUUUCAGCCACAAAGCUCUAGAUCUUUAUCUCCAUGCUAUCUCUUCAUUUUUAAGAUAUUCUUCCUAGUUCAUAAUCAAAGAUGCCUCGAUUGGAGAUUCUUCUUCUGACAGGACUCGAUUUUCCAUUACCGCAUCCUGCAUAGCUAAUUGACUUAGGAUUUAAACCUUUUGUAACCCUAGAUUGCCAAAGCUGGUUGUACUCAAUUCCUUCAAUUUUCCUUUUAAAGCCUUGAUCAUACACCCAAGGAUAUAAUCAGGCUUACAGUGAAUACAAAAGACUCCCACCAUCCUUUAAUUUUUUCAACAAAACCCUCUGUGUUGAGCCACCAAUUAUCAAACUUGAAAUACGAUUUGUUUUGCUCCUAAGAUCCACAUUGUAGAGCAAUGGGACUGUGAUCUGAGCACAUCUCUAUAACACCGCUUGUUAAAUUCUGCUAAAGUUGGCAUCCCACUCCUUGGAUAUCAAAAUCUUAUCAAUUCUAGAAGCAACAAUGUUAUUUCCCCCUUUAAACCAAGUGUAGUUACCCCCUACCAAUUGUAAGUACACCAUGUCCAUAUCUUCAAUCAAAUCAGAGAACUCUAUUAUAUCUAAAGUUCUCCUUUUGCAAUUUCUCUUUUCUGAUGGAUAUCUUAUGAUGUUGAAAUAUCCACAUACUGCCCAAGGUCCCUCAAAAACACUUCUAACAACACCUAUUUCCUCCCGCACAUGCUCUCUCUCAACUCUGCCAUUAAGAGCAUAGACUCCUGUUAUGUGGCAAUUGAAAUCCUGAAACACUGACUCAAACUUGCAGGUGAGGGUGUAGGAACCUGUUUCCAACACUUCCUCUUUCCAUGAUCUCCUGUCCCAUAACAUCAAAUUGUCCCCCCUAGUGCCACUUGCUUGUUAACAAGCAUACUUAACCCAUAUAUCUUUUAUUAUAUCAUGGAUCUCCCCCUCUAACUUUGACUCUUGUAGACAUACAAUGUCAGCCUUCUAGUUGGAGAUUAAACUCUUCACAAAUCUCCUCUUAUCCCCACUAUUUAGUCCCCUAACAUUCCAAGAUAAAAGUUUUGCAUUCAUUAUAAAACUUGUCCUCUUUCCCACCUAUCUCUCUUCUCCUCACAUUUGAAAUUAAUAUCAAAGAAGUCAUCCUUUUCAGUUCAUGAACCCCAUUGUACCUAGGCCUUUUUCCAAUACAAUAACUUUCCAUCUUUCUAGCUUGUCUUCAACUGUUUAUUUGAAUAAGUAGCUCUACAGAUUCCUCUUCAUGUCCUUAUAAAUCCACACCAAACAUUUUCCCCAGCUUGAUAAGAUUAUGUCUUACCCACAUAGAUGUCUCCUUCUCUUUUUGUACAGCGGAGCUCAUGUCAUUUUGUAUGGGAUACGAUCCUCCACCACCCACUCUUAAAUUUGUUUGUCAGUCUGCAUGCUUGAUGUGUUAUUUUGACCAUUCUAAAUUUCCUGAAAUAAAUUUGCUUUAACACUGCUAACCUCCAUUGCCAUCGUUUUGGGGGAUCUGAAGCAUUUCCUAAAUUUUUAAUUGAGUUCCCAUUUUAUGUAUGCCGUUCCUUUGUUGUAGUAUCAAGUUGUAGAAGAGUGCUCCUAAGAACUGGAGCAUGGUCCUCUAUUUCAAAGCAUAAAGGAUCAAUAAAGGCUACCUCAAUUGGGCCUGAUAAGUCAUUUAAAAUGCUAUUUGCUUUAUCACGCCCAAUCUUUUUUUUAGUAUUGUCCCAGCCCAAAAAGUUUCUCAAACAUACUUGGGUCUCCACUUCCUCAGCACAUGAGUGUGUGGUCUCAUUUAAAAAGACUCCAUUUGUAUCUGGGAGCCCCAUGUGCCCCAUUUGCACACCUUCUCAAUUUUUCAAAAAGUUUUGUCAUUUCUCUGUAGGAGACAACUCAAUUACCUGUUGGUCCAAAGAUAGUGGCAGACCUCCAGUUUCUUUGCUACACUCUCCUAGCUUCAGCAUGACUAGAUGGUGAUUUACUUCUACAGUCGGCGUCAAGAUUUGGAAUAAAACUUUCCUCUCUACCCAAAUUGGGAUAAAAAAAUUUAUCCCAUCUCUCUCAAUCAAAAUCUCGCUCGAGCAGUUUUUUCCAUCUCACGAAUUUUAAUUAUUUCCUACUUUAAAUGGUUCUUCAAAUCCGUCUCCUCCUAUGUGUCGACCCAUCCUCCGCAAAGAUUUCCAAUUUCUGUAAAGAUUCUUUGUGACCAGAAUUAUAGAGGUACUCUAAAGCUCUAAUCCAAGUGGGUUUGGAUUUUUGAUUGGAAUAUUCACAUUUUACUACUGGGUUCAACCACUAAAGAUUAAAUUUGAUAUUCUCCCACCUCCACUCCUUCUGAAUGAUUUGUUCUGCCAUGUGCCUGUAUGGAAAUUCGACGAGGAACAUGUUGUUGGCUAUCUCGUUAAUGUUGAUCCCAAACACUCCUUUCCAAGAGACCGCAAUCAUCUCUUGAUUUCUGAUAAAGAGGGAAGUUGUGUUUCUCCCUCAUCAAAAGAGCCUACAAUGCACCUCUUGAAAAGUCCAGUGUCUCUUGACCCUAAUGUCUCUGUAACUUGAAGGUUUCCUUCACCGUACGAGAUCUUUGUCUCACCCAAAGUGUUUCAUCUCCAUUUGCUUUCCCCAGCUGUUGUGGCAUAAGAGAGGUCCUUUUUAAAUAGUUUGGGGUGUACUGCAUUCUUCAGUUGGUGAGAGCAUUGAAAGAACCUCUCUAUCUUAGACACCCAACAUCUAUAACUAACUCUGGAACUAUUAUAACUACUCUUUCUCGACCAUCAAGAGUUAAAAUGCUGAAGAAUCUACCAUACUCAUUCACUUUCCUAUUGCAGAUGGUCUCAGUGAAUUUUUCUUUUAUUUCCAUAUUCUGAUUCCUUUUCCUCUAUCCUUGGAAACUUUCUUGAUGACUGUGCAAAGCCAUUUCAUAAUUUUCGCACUCAUGGAAGACCUUCUCAUCAGUUUGUAACUUCUCUCGACCCAUUCAAACCAAAUGUCUCUCCCCACUGUCCAUCUUGUGAUAUCGAAAGACUUGAAGCCUGCAUUGAAAUAUAUCGUGUUUUCCUGCAUCACAGAUCAAGAAAGGAAGAGCUCUGCUGGUGAAAGAAGACAACAAUGAAAAAAAGAGUGAUAGGUGAAAAAGCUACCACAGAAUGUAGGAGUUGAGAUUAGAAAGAAAGGAUAUUUCCGGCAAGGAGUUGCCGAAAAGAGAGUUUUCUCUCUCCUAUGAAGUAGGAGAGCAGGGAGUAUUUGGAGUAUUUUUUUAUAAUACUUCCACACAUCUUCUUCAAUCUUGAAAAACAAUUAUCUUAGUUUGGAAAAAUAAACAACAAAAAUAUGUCUUUUGACUAUCAAAUUAGUGUCAUCAUUGUGUAUAAUUUUGAAUAAGAGACUUGUCAAGACAUUAUUUAAUCCAAAUUAUUUGAGCAACAUACGUUAUUUCAUUGAACUCCAAGAGAUGUGUUUUUAUAUUUUAAUUAACUUAUCAUGUACACAACUAACUAUAUAAGAUAUAUAAAAUUAAGAUUUUCUAUGUAGAGACCAUGAAUAGGAGAAAAACUCUUGCAAUUGAUGAAUAAAAUGUUUGUGCCACCUUUUGAAAAUACAAAUAUAGACAAUGAAACAAUUACAUAUAAUUUCAAUAGACUUUAGUGAUGAACAACUACAGUAAAAUAAAGAAUUAAUAAUAAAAUUUAUAAAGACUUAGAAUCUAAUCUUUUUCAUUUUAAGACAAAAAAAAAAUUUCAUUCUUUAGAUAUAAUAUUCUUAACAAUUUAUCGUAGGUUGUACCCUCUCAAAACCACUUAUAUUAUCAAAUGUUCAGAUUGGAUUAUUGACUUUGUUCACCACCGCGCGAAGCGUGGGCAAUUUAGCUAGUUGAUUUAAAUAAAAAAGACAAAACAUUUGGUGAUUUUAAUGACUCGGUUUUUUUUAAAAAUAAUUUACUAUGAUAAUUUUACUCUCUUGCGAUAGUUUAAUAUAUUAAUAUAGAUUAUGAUAGCUCAAGCUCAAUUAGGACACUAAAACGUCUAAUGCUCUCAAAUAUAUUAUUUUUAUUAUGUCACUAGUCAUUUUGUAUGCAAUUAUGAUUUAUUAUUCUAUAUGAAAAAUCAAUAAUUGUAUUAUAUAACUUCUGAAAGAUUCUUUAAUUUAAUAAAUAUUUAGGCAUUAAUUGUAAUACACUACCUUGAUUCUUGUUCUCAAAAUCUUAUUAAUGCUUAAUAAUAUUUAAAAGUUUAGUGCAAGAUUCUAAAAUAUUAGACAAAAUCCUACUUUAAUUUAACUAAGAAUUUAAUCUUUUAACAAGAAAAUUUUGUUGCAUUAUGAAUAUCAUGACUAUAUAAACAAAUAACUAAGAAGGUACAUUUUGGUUUUUGAGGUCCGAUUCAAACUCUAUUUUCGAAAAAUUAGCAACAUUGAGUUCACUACUUAUGACUAAACAAAUUAUGAAGCAAAAUUCAGUUUUGACUUUGGGGCUCGGGUUAACUUUGAUUCAAUAUUAAUCAAAACUACUAUAUUGCGAUAUGAGUAUAGAUGAAUUGGUAUUUAAAUGUAGAUCAUGUUUUAUAUUGAUUUAAAGUGUUCCAAUGCAAUAUGGAAGGAAAUAAAAUAUGAUGUUGUGACUUUCAUGGCGCAAUUGUUCAACCUUCGAGUUAGGUCAUACUUUUGUUCAAAGACAUAUCUUGAGGAAUAAGUUAUUGUAUAAAACAUUUUAUGAGUUGGGAAAACUAUUGAUUUGAAGUACUAAAUGAGACCAUUUGAUGUUGUAAUGCUCUAACCCUUCGAGUUAGGUCAACUUAUUGUUCUAGAACUUAGCUGACGUUGUAUGUUAUUGUAUAAAACAUGUAAUAAGUUGGGAACACUAUUGAGUUGAAGUAAUAAUUGAUACCAUUUGAUGUUAUAAUACUUGAAAACCUUUGAGUUAGGUCAUAACGUAUUGUUCUAAGACUUAGCUUGGGUAGUAAGUUAUUGUAUAAAUCAUGUUAUGAAUUGGUCAAACUAUUUAGUUGAAGUACUGAAAUUAGACCAUUUGAUGUUGUAAUACUAUAAAAGAAAGUUCUAGCUGAUAAAUGGCUUGAGAUGGAAAUUGUAUCAAUAUUUAGUUGUAUUUAGUUUUAUACAUUAUACACAUAAGAGGAGUUACUAAGCUAAAAUAUGCAUCAUAUUGAAAGAAAUCUUAUUUAGAUGAUAAAUUAUGGCCUAGGGGCAGAUUUAUAAAGUAAAUUUAUAUCUUCAGUAUUUGAAAUUUCAUUUAUUUAUUGUUAUCAUGCGCACUCAUUAAUUUUCAUGGAUCAAAAAAUGAUACUAUGAUAAAGAGAUUUCUUUGUGAAAAUAAAACACUAAUUUUUACUAGUUUAAGUUUGAGAAUGUGAAUUUUAGAAAGUCAUUGGUGUUUGCCACUAGAAAUAGAUUUUGGGAAAGAUAUAUGAACCUUGAAAGUCCCCCAUGGGUCCCCCACUCCACAUCAAUGUUUUAUGGACGAUAUGUCUACUGGUAUCAUUAUUGAUCAUUGCAUUAUUUUGCAUAUUAUUGCCACUUGUAUUGCCUCUUAUAAUUGUAUCGAUUGAACUAAUGGGACUUCUCAGCGUUAUACAACAUGUGAGCCCACUCAAAUCUGAAAAUUUAUACAGAGUAGAAAGGAUACCAUAGUGCAUCUAAAAGUUACAACAAAUCAAUGGUGGAUGCAAGAUUCUCAUGAAGGGUUGUCAAUGAUAAAGGGCUUCAACACACAACCUAAAGGAAGUUUUGAUACCUCCUAACUACUUGACUAAGCCUUUCACCUAUAUAUAUAUAUAUAUAUAUAUAUAUAUAUUAAACCAAAAUUUGUCCUCUAUAUACAAUGUAAUUUUUCGGCAAAAGGAUGGCGCUUGACACCCCUAGGCUUAGGGUGGGUCUUGCCCUGUCACAAAUGCAACUUGAAAAUUGUUGAUAAUUGUUGGAUAAAUAUAUACACUUUUUCUUUUAGUGUAGGAUGGAUAUUCAAAGUAUAGGAGACAAGAAAAGAAUAAUGUCAUUCUGUAAUGACCUCCCGUUCAUUUCUUUGUUUAUGCCUCUUGUUUGUCAUUUAAAGCAUUCAUUUAGCUACCCCAAGUCAUUUAUGACUUGCUUGGAAUGACAGAUUGAUCACCUGGUCGUUCAUUUAGCUUUUAUGGUGAGUUUUAGUGUUUUGGAGCUUUGAACCUUGACGAUAUUGACCCAAAAGAAAGCCAAAUUCUUAUGGUCGAAAGCUUGUGAGACGUGUUUUCAAGGUAUGGCAAUUUUCAUUCAUGGAGUUCUUAAAUUCUUUUAUUUUCAAAGUUACAAAUCCCAAAGUCAGUCAGGUUUUCUUCACUUUCCAUGGGUUCCCUUCAGUGUUGAUUAAAUGAUUGAAUUAUGAUCUACAAUGCAUGAAAUAAUGAAAUAUUAUAAUUUUUACGAUGAUUCCCCAUGAACCCAUGUAAAUCCUGUGUUCACCAAUUAUGAUGAUAAAAUGUGGGUCUUGAACUAUGAAAUGUGAAUGAUGGAAAUUAUGCAUGUUCUUAUGGAAUUAAAGAGACCUUGUGAUUUGGAGCAUGCGCGGUCGGCCUACAGGUAGGCUACAACUUCCUUUCUAUUUAGAUUGAGCAUGAAUGUGUAAAUUCAUGCUGAUAUGUGUGAAUUGAGGGUGAGUACCUAGUUAUUUCUGCUUUUCCUUUUAGGAACCAUGAUAUAGGGUUGAUUAUUACUGUAUCAAGGCUAAGGUUAGUUUUGUGACUCGCAUGCUAUGUGAAAUUAGUUGAGUUUUAUUUGUUUUCUGAUGCAUAUUUGAUCUUAAACUAGAGUAGGCUAGUUUUGCCUUAGACUAUCAAACUUGUGGCUUUCUUUGUCUCUGAUGUCAUUUUGGACAGACUAGAUCCUUGUAAACUAGAGUAGAAGACUUGAGUAUGAUACUAUGAGCCAUUGUUUAGGCAAAUUCAUGGCUUAUUAGAUAUUUUAUCUUCUCCCUCCAUAUUGUUGUAGUUUUCAGGUGUUACCAGAGGUUUAUGAUAUCCUGACGAUUGGAGUAUUGAGUUGUACAUUUGAACAAGGCUGAAGCCUUUUGUUGAUACCUUUGGGUAGGAGGCGUCCCACGGUGACUUCACUUUACUUGACUAGGGUUUCCCCUUGUAAAUGUCACAUCCUAGGCACUCUUGUUAGUUGGUAUAUGAGUUGGUUGAUUACAUUGAUUAUUUACGGUUCGAGGUCGUUACAUCUAGUUCGAGGCUAACGUUUUACGGUUCGAGGCCGUUAUUUCCAGCUUGAGACUAAUGCUUUUGGUUCAAGGCCUAUAUUCUACCACUUAGGGUUUGAAUCCCAGAUCAUAUAAUUGUGGGUUCGAGGCUUGGUUGACUUCCUAUGUACUUGGGUUUGAGUAUUUUAUUCUUGUAGUCUUAGCUAUCUUAUGUACAUGUGAGGCUCAUGGGGUUCUGUUUGGGCUUUACUUAAAAUUGUGCACGAGUGUACCUUUAGGGCUCACAGGUCUAGUAAGUUUUAGUUUACUUGUACUUAGAUUACUUUUAGCAUACUCAUGUGCCUUCUUUCUUUCCCGCUUUGACCUUUGUUUGUAUCUAUAUUCUAUCUUUUCUGAUUGUCUUUACCUUUCUUGAUCAUUUGGCCUACGAUGCCGACUAAGUACCUUGUUUUGGUACUUAUGUUGCACUCUGCAUCUUUUUUGUGAUGCAUGUCCUAGUACCAGCUUACCAGCGGUGAUCGUUCAUGCCAUCUUUUGCAUCUUGACCUUUCUUGCUCUGUUGGCCUAUGAUGCCUACUGAGUACCUUGUUUUGGUACUAAUGUUGCACUCGCCAUCUUUUUCCAGAUGCAGGUCCUUUUACCCACAUACCAGUGGUGAUUGUUCGUGCCAUCUUUUGGAUAUUUGAGAUGAGGAUGGGCACUUGGCAUCUUGGACUAGCCUGUCUCCUUAUGUACAUAUGUUAUAUUGUCUUUCUCCUUCGAGAUAGCUUGUUGUGGUCCGCUUAUUGGACUUCUAUUUUUUCUUUCUAUGUAGAUCUGUACUCAUUACUUUUAGGUUCUAGGAGGGUUUCCAUUUUAUACAACUUCUAUUUUUUUCUUUCUAUAUAGAUCUGUACUCAUUACUUUUAGGUUCUAGGAGGGUUUCCAUUAUAUACAACUUUUGGUUUGCUUUCUGUUAUUGUCUUUUCUUAUUGUUAGUAUUAUUUGAAAUUUAUUUCUAGCCUUACACCUAUUACUCGCGUUCUGGUGCGUGUUGACUAACCUACUGGUAGGUUAUCGUAGGUUCCAUCAUGACUCUAGAGACCGGGUCGGGAUAUAUUCUCAAUAAUAGAAGAAGAUUUACAUAGACAGUAUCUAGACAUAUAAUUGAUGCCUCGUCAGCAGAAUUCAGAAGAAAGUAAGACUUUAUCAAGGUUAAUACACAAGUACAUAAAUGAAUAUACAAAUAGAUUAAACCAAAUACCUUCAAAUAGGUAGGUGGGCAUGCCUUCGUUGAUAAUUUACUUCUUCAAUACUCUGCAAUUGUUAGAUAUUCACCAGUAAGCAAUCAAUGAUUCUUAGAGAGUUAGAGUUCACAGUACUAAAUACCAAAUAAAAUUUGUGACAUGCAACCAGGAUGUCACAAAUUCUGAUAUCUUGGUUCCUUGACCAAUGCCUCACAUUUGUGACAUACUGCUAUUUGUGGAUAUAAUAACUCGAUAUCCUUAAACGUAACAAGGAUGGGAUAAAUCGUGGGCUUCUAACAGAUUUUUAGAAAUAGAACUUAGUUAUACAAAUAGGUUGCCGUUCCAAGAAUUAUGCACAACAAUAUGAUGUCAACACAAAAGUUUAGACUAGAUCCCACUUGAGAAAGGAAAAGACUUUUAAAUCUGGUAACAUCAAAAGAUAGAAGAACUAUCCUACAGACUGCCCUAAUUUAUACAGAAUGACAUAAUAUAGUGGAAGCUCAGCUUUCCUGGUUAGCAUUCCUAUUAUUAAGGUCAGAUGUAACCUUGUUGAUCUCUCCUCAAAUUAAAGCAAAUUAGCACAAGUUUUGAACUUUUUCCAUUAAACUGACUAAAUAAUUACAAUAAAUUUUUUGACCCUAGAAUCAAUCUCAUUCAUCAGAGAGAUUUGCCUAUCCAACUCCUGCAUAGGUUGUAUCAUAAUUAAUAUCCUUAAUAUACAAGGAGCAAAACAGACCAAACAAAAAAAACCCAACCUCAUUCAUAUCGCCAACCAUGUUUUCAAAGUAUUUUGACCUUCAUAUUCCACCUCCAAACCUUGGUCCUAUGAGAAGUUGAAACAAAACCACACAUUGAUAUUUAGGAACCAACAAUCCAACAAUAAGACGUAAUAAAAUGCAAAAAAAUUUCUGAUGGAUCAUGAACAAGUCCGUAAUUAAAUAUUCCAAAAAUACAUGCCUAUUACAUUUGGCACAUUUCAUAUUCUUGUCAGAUUUUCAGUUGUUGCACUGUCUGAAAUUUCAUUUAUCCUAUUGGGCAGUGCAAGUCCUAAAUCAUCAUGUACAACAAAUUCUUUGCUUGAAAUCCCUUUGACCUACAAGAGGAGGUAUUGCUGACCAAAAAAACAAUCCAGUGAAAGUAGGUUAUUUCUUGUGAAGCAUGGACAAAAACUAAAGGAAAAUAGUCUUGAAAAAAUCCUAAUAAUAUAAUAAUGGAGAAAGGAGUGUAUGAGAGGCAGUGAUAAGAACUAACUUCACAAACUAAGCUCUUAAGUAAGAUUAUACUUCUAUAUCUAUUUGUCUUACUAAAUUUAUAAGGCUUGCUGCCAUCACUAUUGAGUGUAUGCUGAUUUGAAGUCAAAUAUUAUCAUCCCUAGUGAGCUCAAUAACCUUCUCAUACUGAUUUCAACAACAUAUUCAUGAAAAAAUGAGAUCUACAAACUGUCACACCUUCUUGUAAUAUUAAAUCCACUGAUCUUUUUACAAUCCAGGUGCUUGAUAUCGUUAGAAUCUCGUAGAUAUCCUAGAAUGUUCUAGUACCUUAUAAUUAUGUGUUUUGGUUAACCCACCGUUCUUCAAAAUGAACUCUUAUCUAUGUCAACCCAAUGAAUUGAGGGAAUAGCUGAGUUUUCUCUCAAACUGUGUUCAUGGAAGCAUGAAGCAGAAAAAGAGACUAGGCCCUGCUUCGCUUAAUUCGUAAAGCGAAGCACUCACUUCACUGAAAGUGCAGCAAAAUUUUUAAAGAAUAAUCAAAAUAAACCUACAACAAUGACAAUAUAUAUAUAUAUAUACGAGUAACUUUCAAUGUAAGUACUAAAAAGUAGACAGCAAAAAAUCCUCCAUGGUACAAGCAAAAUCAAUACUAAAAUUUAAACUUUAGCAAUUUUUCCUUUACAUGAUCUGAAAACUUUGACAAGCAGUAACGUUAAAUUUAUCACUGAUGAGAUGAUGCUUCUGCGGAUAAGUUACACCUUUAUGAUCUUGUUACAAAAAGAAAAUUGAAUAGUUCUUGCUAGUAUCACUAAUUUUUGUGCAUAGAUCCAAGUUUGUCUUUGUUUUCCAUUACUGACCUCUUUCUAGACAUUGACUAACAUAUAAAGUUUAUAAACCCCUCUUAAUAGAUAAAAUAAAAUUAUAAAUGAUAAUGAAAUUAUAACACAAAGUCAAACUAAUUGACCAACAUAUGAAGUUCUAAAGUAAUCACACUUAACCACAUUAUCUUUUUCACAUCAGUGUUCAUGACCCUCCUCUGAUAGCAAAAUAUACUCAUAGCUCACAAACCCCGAUUUAUUACUAAAAAAAUGUUUAAGUUAAUUCUAGCUGAUUAAAAUUUGAAUUAUACAAACACUUCUUAGGAUCUACCUCAAGAAAACAACUUUGUGUAAUUGCAUCUUGUGGUAGACAGUAGGUUGUUUCAUCCUUGAAAAGAAAACAACUAAGACCCUUAUACCCCAAGAUAAUAAGAACAUAUAUAAUGUAGGCUGAUAAAAAUUAUCAGUGCAUAAACGUAUUAUAUAAGGAGAUGGUGUGUUUCUGAAGUCUCCAAACCCAACCAGCAAGUCCCCAAAUAUAGCCAAGCUAAUUGGGAAAUGAUGCGCCUCUUUCUAUUUCUAGAUGUUUGCUUAUCAAUCUCCCCACCUCUUGAGUCAUAAUUGAGUCCAAUAAACCAAAGCAGAAAUGUUCUCUUUCUAUAAAUCGUAGGCAAACCUCAAUAAUGCUUUCUUUUUGCAUAUCUUAGACUAAACUAGACAACCCUCAAUAUUGUUUUCUUUCUAUAUAUCCUAGACUAGAAGCUAGACAAACCUCAAUAAUGUUUUUUUUCUAUAAAUUUAGGAGAAAAGUAAAUCAACUUAAAAAAAUUGAAUACACCUUCUUCAGAGCUAAUCUAUGCAUUUUGGGAACCUCAUCAGUCAAUCUAGCCUUUGUAUGUUUGCCUGCAAUGGGAGAUGUUGGAAUUUAAGGCGGUGUAAAGGCAAGCAAAAGCACCAUCGUCGGAAUGUUUGGAAUUUUUUCGCUUGUCGAUAUCAUACUUGUCGUAUUUCUUGCUCCAUGUCGACCUAUCUUUCUUCCUCGAGGCAUUUAAUAACAUCUCCUUAAACCUAGCCUUAACAACAACUUGAUUAAGGGAAUAAGGAUUUAGCAUUUUUACUAUAUGCCUAAUUUCUUCUUGCAGCCCUUCCACUAAGAAUUACCCAAAUUCCAGGUAAUGUAAGAAUUCUGAUUAAAACCCCAGUCUUGAGCUCCUCAAAACUAAGUAGUCAUUCACGGUUCCUAUUUGCUCUAGUUUCUUGAAUUCUCUAACAAAGUUAAGCUUGCUAUUAGUAGCUCCAUCAAACCUUUUACUUUGUCAAAAAUUCCAGUCAUCAAAUAGUGCCUCAACUUAAUUUAAAGGAAAAAUAUCAAGCCUCAGCCUUACCUUAAAGAUGAAGUGGAACUAUGUCCAACUUUUCCUUGGAAUCCAAGUUGCAAUGAUAGUGGAAGUACCUCUCUGCUUUUGUCCACCACAAAGUCAAAACUAAUUGAUUAACAUAUGAAGACUUAAGGUUAAUCACACUUAACAACAUAAUUUUUUCAGAUCAGCAUUCAUAGCCCUCUUUUGGUAGCAAAAUAUACUCAUAACUCAUAAAUCCCUUUUUAUAGCUAAAAUAAAUGUGUAAGUUCAUUCAAAAGUUGAUUAAAAUUUGAAUUAUACAAGCUCUUGUUAGGUUCUACUUCAAGAAACGAAAUUUUCCAUGUAAUUUCAUAUUGUGGUUCAAAGUACAUUGCUUUAUAGCUUGAGUAGAACAGUGAUAGGAUCUGUGUAUCUUAAGUCUCAAAACCCGAAUAUGCGACUUUCAACUAAUAUUUGCUUGCUUAUGACUCUCUCCACCUCUUGAGCCACAAUGGAGUUCAAUAAACCCAAAACAUAAAUUCAUUAAGAGAAAAAUUAUGUGCAAACUAGAAACACCUCAACAAAUGUUUUCUUUCUAGACGUGUCAUAGCCUUAGCUCUACAUUGCAUGACUGAACAUUUGAAAUCUUCUCAAUUAAUCAAUCUAGCCUUUAUCCUUCAAAUCUCCACACCAGUAGACCGUCUAUUUAUUUUUUCCUUUAGAAGUUGUAAUUGGAUAUUCACUUCAAAUGUUCAAAUAGUAGAAGUACGAAAUAAUUUUCUACAUAUUUUAGGCUUUCUGUGACAAAAAAGAUGUAACAUGAAUAGUAGCUUCAAUGUCGGAAUUGAUGGUGGUGUAUCGCCAGAAAGUGUCGAUAUUGCUUGCCCUUUCUAGCUAUACUUCUAUAUAUGGAAAUAAAUCUUGGCAUUAACUAACUUUGCAAACAUACUUGUUGAAAUUACAAGACACAAAUGUGAAAAUUGGUAGCCACCAAUAUGAAAGUUGGUAGCCACAUUUGUGGAAGUAGGUAGUCAAAGUUUGAUAUAAAGUUCGACAUAGUAAGGCAGACAAUUUUUUGUUGAAAUUAGCUACCACAUUAUGUCAUUAAUGAUGUAAAAAAGUGUUCAAAAAACUCUAUAAAUAGAGUAGUAAUUUAACACUUGAAGACACACCAAAAUAGAGAAGCAAUAGAGAGUAGAGAGAGUAAUCCACAAACUACUUCUUAGUUUAUGAGAAACCAGUGUGCAAGUAAUAUAUUAUGAGUUGUAAGAAAUAAAGAGUGUUGAGUAGUAGUCUUUUGACACUACCAAGUUUUUUCAUCAAUAUUAUUGUAUUACUUAUUCGAGUAUUAUAUUUACCCAUUUUCAUAGUUGGUGUAGUUGUUACUCUCUUCUUAUUGAUAUUUAGUUUUGACAUUAUCCUAGUUGUGAUUAUCAUUUUGUCCAACAACGUGGUAUCAGAGCCAUGAUGAAUGAUAGUUUGUUGUCCUUUCAAUACCCCCAUCUCACAAGAGAAAAUUAUGAAAAAUGAUAUCUACGAAUGAAAGCUAUUCUUGGAUCUCAAGAAGUUUUGGAUAUUAUGACAAAGGGUAUACAAAACCCGCAAAUGAGGAAACUUUGUCCUCAAAUGAAAAGGAGGUAUUGUUAAAUACAAGAAAUAAAGAUCAACAACCCUCACUCUUAUCCAUCAAUGUUUGGAUGAUGUCCUGAUUGAGAAGGGGGUUGAUGCAGCCACCUCCAGUGAAGCGUGGGAGAUUUUGCAAAUUUCUCUCCAAGGAGUUGAUAAAGUAAAGAGCAUAAAACUUCAAACUCUAAGGGUUUAUUUUGAAGUUUUAAAAAUGAAAGAAUCCGAAUCCAUUUCAGAUUUCUUCUCAAGAUUGAUUGCUGUUGUAAAUCAAUUAAGAAGAUACGGGGUGGAAGUAGAUGGUGUGCGUGCAGUAGAAAAGAUCAUUCGUUCUUUAAUACCUAAAUUUCAUUAUGUGGUAUGUGCUAUUGAGGAGUCUAAAGAUCUAGACUCUAUGAUGGUAGAACAAUUUGAAGAUUCUUCACUAACACUUGAAGAGAAAUUGAAAAGGAGAAAAGAAGAUCCACUAGAGCAACUUCUUAAAACUCAUGCAUCCUUCAAAGAAUUUGAAGGUGAGAAAAGUAACAAAAGAAAAGGAAAAUGGUAAGGACAUGGAGGUCGUGGAGGCCAUGGAAGAGGAAGAAGUUAUACCAAUCAUUUAAACAAUGAAGAUAAAGGUCACCAGUCAUUCAGAGGUUGUGGUCGUGGUCAACGAGGAGGCAGAGGACGUGGAGCCUUUCAAGGUACAAAUGAAAUAAGGUAUGAUAAAUCUAAAAUUGAGUGUUAUAACUGUAAUAAAAUGGUACAUUACUCUUCGGAAUGUCGUAGUAAUGUUGAAGAGAAAUUUAAUCUUGUUGACAACAACAAAGAUGAAGAUAAGUCAACACUAUUAUUAACACUCAAAGAAGAAGAUAAAAAUGAUUGCAACUCAUGGUAUCUUGACAAUGGAGCAAGCAAUCAUAUGUGUGGCCACAAACAUAUAUUUGUAGAGAUAAAUAAGACCGUGAAAGGUCAUGUGUCUUUUGUAUAUACCUCAAAGAUCUAAAUUGAAGGGAUAGGUACGAUUCUGAUAUCCUGUAAAGAAUGUGGUCAUAUAUUGAUUACCAAUGUUUAUUAUGUUCCAAAAUUGAAAAGUAAUAUUUUGAGUUUGGGUCAACUUCUUGAAAAAGGAUAUGAUAUUCAUAUCAAAAAUAUGCAUCUUUGGUUAAGAGAUUCAAGUAACAACUUAAUUUCUAAAGUUCAUAUGGCAAAGAAUAGGUUGUUUCCUUUGAAUCUUCAAACUAUCGAUGCAAGGUGUUUGAAGGCUAAUGUGCAAGAUGAAUCAUGGUGUUGGCAUAUGAGAUUCGGGCACUUGAACUUUGAAGUGCUCAAAUCAAUGGGAGACAAUAACAUGGUUGAUGGUAUACCGUCAAUCAAUCAUCAAAAUCAAUUGUGUGAAGCUUGUCUUCUUAGAAAACAUGCAAGGAGGAGUUUUCCAAAGGAGACUACAUCUAGAACAAGUAAGUCACUCCAACUUCUACCCACCGAUGUGUGUGUUCCAGUCGAUCCACCUUCUUUUGGUAAAAGAAAAUACUUCUUACUAUUUAUUGAUGAUUUCAGUAGAAAAACCUGGGUAUACUUCUUGAAGCAAAAAUCUGAUGUUUUUGUUGUGUUUCAAAAUUUCAAAGCACUUGGAGAAAAAGAAAGUGUCUGUGAAAUAAAAGAAUUAAGGUCUGAUAGAGGAGGUGAAUUCACUUCAAAAGAAUUUAAUGACUUUUGUCAAUCUCAUGGAAUUCUUCUCCCUCUAAUGGUACCUUAGUCGCCCCAACAAUAUGUAGUUGCAGAAAGAAAGAAUAGAACAAUUCUUAAUAUGCCUAGAUGUAUGUUUAAAGCUAAACAUCUACCAAAACAAAUUUGGGUCGAGGUUGUUUAUUGUGCAAUUUAUUUGAGCAACAGGUCUCCAACAAGAAAUGUAUGAGAUCAAACACCUCAAGAAGCAUGGAGGUGAAGAAAGCCAAGUGUUAAGCGCUUGACAAUCUUUGGGAGCAUAGGUUAUGCUCAUGUUCCACAUUAAGGGAGAGCUAAAAUUGACAAUCGGAGUGUCAAAUAUGUAUUUGUUGGUUAUGACGCAACUUGAAAAGGCUAUAAAUUAUACAAUCCAAGCAAUAACAAGGUGGUGGUGAGUCGGAUGUUGAAUUUAAUUAAGUAGCAUCAUAGAAUUGGGAGGCUCUGGAAGAAAAAACAUAUAGUUUUCUUCCAUACUUCGGAGAUGAAGAAGAACAAGAGACUAUGACACCUGCAUAUGAUGCAACCCCAACUCCUUCACCACCAAAUGUUUCAUCUCCAUCUUCUCAAGAGAGUUCAAGUGAAAUACCACAUAUGAUGAAGAGCAUCCAAGAACUCUAUGAUGACACUGAAGAAAUUACUAAUUUUGAUUUUUUGUGUUGUCUCUUUGCUGAUAGUGAACCAAUGAAUUUUGAUGAAGUUGUUACUGACAAAAGGUUGAGACAAGCCAUGGAGGAGGAGAUCCAGUCAAUAGAGAGGAACAACACUUGGGAGUGCACAACUAUUCCCAAGGACAAUCAGGCAAUUGGAGUCAAAUGGGUAUACAAGAUGAAAAAAAAUGCCCAUGGAGAAGUAGAAAGACACAAGGAAAUACUUGUAGCUAAAGUCUACAAACAAGAGCAUGGCAUCGACUAUGAAGAAGUUUUUGCGCUUGUUGCCCGCAUGGGGACAAUCCAUCUGUUGAUCUCUUUAGCAGUGUAAAAUGAAGAGGAAGAUCCAUCAACUAGAUGUCAAAUAGGCAUUCUUGAAUGGAUAUCUUGAAGAAGAAGUCUAUGUUGAGAAACCAUUGGGUUUUGUGGUUAAAAAUCAUGAAGAUAAGGUGUUGAGGUUGAAGAAAGCCAUAUAUGGGUUGAAGCAAGCUCCACGAGCUUGGAAUAGUUGCAUUGACAAAUACUUCCAAGACAAUGAGUUUACUCGUUGUCUUCAUGAAUAUGUUUUUUGCAUUAAAGUUCAUACUAAUGGAGAUAUUCUGCUUGUUUGUCUUUAUGUUGAUGAUCUCAUUUUAAUGGGUAACAACCCAGCUUUAUAUAAAGCAUUCAAUAAAGCUAUGUCCCUUGAGUUUGAGAUGACAGACAUAGGCCUCAUGUCAUAUUACUUGGGCCUAGAAGUGAAGCAAAUGGAGGAAGGUAUCUUCAUAUCUCAAGCAAGCUAUACAAAGGAUAUUUUGAAGAAGUUCAACAUGUUUGAUUGCAACCCUGUGAACACUCAAUGGAAAGUGGACCAAAAUUGUCAAAGUUUGACAAUGGAAAAGAAGUGGAUUCCACUUUGUUAAAGAGUCUCAUAGGAAGUCUGAGGUACUUGACAUGUACGAGACCAGAUAUAAUCUUUGCAGUUGGAGUAGUUAGUUGCUUCAUGGAAGAUCCUACCUCCACUCACUUGAAAGUUGCUAAAAGAAUUCUUCGCUACCUAAAAGGAACAAUCGAACUUGGGCUAUUUUAUUCUUCUUCUGAUGAUUUUAAUCUUGUGGGAUAUUGUGAUAGUGAUUAUGAGGGACAUGUCUAUGAUAGAAAAAGCACAUGAGGUAUUGUUUUUUUCUUGGGUGAUUGUGUUAUUUCUUGAAGUACAAAGAAACAAUCAAUUGUUACUCUCUCGACUUGUGAAGCUGAAUAUGUGGCAGCCACAUCAUGUACGUGUCAUGCUAUUUGAUUGAGAAGAUUGUUGAAUGAACUCAAGUUGACACAAAUUGAAGACACAAUGAUUUGUGUUGAUAACAAAUUUGAGCAAGCACUAGCAAAGAAUAUGGUGUAUCAUGAUCGAAGCAAGCACAUAAACACAAGGUAUCACUUUAUCUGAGAAUACAUUGCUAAGAAAGAGGUAGCGCUCAAGUAUGUGAAAUCUCAUGAUCAAGUUGCGGAUAUCUUUACAAAGCCUUUCAAGUUUGAAGAUUUUCGGAGAUUGAGAUCAAGCCUUGGAGUAAAGAAGAAAAAUAAAAAUUAAGGGAGAGAUUUGUGGAAAUAAAUCUCGGCAGCAAUUAAUUUUGCAGCCAUACUUAAUGAAAUUACAAGCUACAAAUGUGAAAAUUGAUAGCCACCAAUGUGAAAGUUGGUAGCCACAUUUGUGAAAGUUGGUAGCCACAUUUGUGGAAGUGGGUAGUCAAAAUUUGAUAUAAAGUUUGAUAUAAGUUUGGUAGAGUUAGACAGCUUGUUGAAAUUGGCUACCACAUUAUGUCAUUAAUGAUGUAAACAAGUCUUUAAAAAAACUCUAUAAAUAGAGUAGUAAUUGAACACUUAAAAACACACCAAAAUAGAGAAGCAAUAAAGAGUAGAGAGAGUAAUUCACAAAUUACUUCUUAGUUUGUAAGAAAAUAGUGUGCAAGUAUUAUUAUUGUGAGUUGUAAGAAAUAAAGAGUGUUGUGUAGUAGUCUUUUUACACUACCAAAUUUGUUCAUCAAUAUUAUUGUAUUACUUAUUCGGGUAUCAUAUUUACCUAUUUUAAUAUUUGGUGUCGUUGUUACUCUCUUCCUAUUGUUAUUUAGUUUGGACAUUAUCUUGAGUGUGAUUAUCAUUUUGUCCAACACUAUAACCGCAAAUGCAUCAGCUUAUCCAUAUUGUACUUGACUUGUUGCAAUUGGAAAUUUUGAUGACAAUUCCUAACAAUUUUUUUCAAAGCAUAUAUUUUUAUAUCGGUAAUCUUUUUAUGAUAAAAAUAUUAUAACACAUCAUUAAUUUUAAUAUAAGAGAUCAUCAAAGUAAUCUAUCGUUAUUUUUCGUUUGAAUAUCGAUAAAUUUUUUUACCUAAUAAAAUAGGAAAGUUUCUUAUUUCUCAAUAUUUUCGAUUUGACGAACGAUACGCAUUUUCUAGUUAGAUUAUUGGUUUUAAAGUUCAACAACAAGGUCGGUAAGAAUUACAUUGCUUCAAAUAAAAAAUAUCAUCGAUGAAGUUAUUCUUGAUAUUUCUAUAUCAAUUUAAAAUCAAGGAAUAUUUAGGAAAUAUUUAUUCUAUUUUAAUUCGAGGAUGAUUAAAAAAUAAUAAUAUUCUCUAUUUCGUUAUUAAAAAAAUUGUUAUCUAAACAAAAAUUAGUGAUGAGUUGGUUACUAUGAUCACAUAUAUAUAUGCCAUAUAUUAAGUAGUAUUAAAAGUAUAUGUGAUAAUUGAAUGUUAAUUGAUGAAAAGAAUAUUAAGAAGAAACAAGAUUAUUUUUCACUCGUAUAUUAGUUUAAGGAUUUUUGAAAAAAAUAAGAAAUUUGAAAGUUCUGUAUGUAUUAUAAAUUCUUUUAAAAAUAUAUUAUGCUUGUUUAGUAAGAAGUUGAGACAUUGUAUUAUAAGUGUAUUAAAAUGUGUGAUACAUGUAUAUUCAUCAAUAAAAGUUGUAUUAUAUGUAAAUAAUAAAUUGUUCUUUUUAACCUCCUAGGUAGGAGAACCAACAAAUUUAACCCAACUUACAAAAAACAAGCAUAAUGCGGAAGCUCCAAAUCUUACUGAAUAUUAUUUUUCAAAACCUGAAAGUGAUCACAUCAAAGACAUCUAAUCUCUAAAUACUAAGUUUAAGAAUAUCAAAUACACUAAAAUAAAAGAAUAAAAUGGUAUGUGUUCAAGAACAUUGGACAUCAUAUCAUGACCGAGAGAUUUCAACACGAGCUUGAGUGAAAAACUCACCCUGAAACUUGAUAUGUUGGAGACUGGCUAGAGCUGAUGGCAAUUCAAAGUCAUUGGUACACUCGCUGCACUCAUAAACGGAAAACAAAUAAACAUACAAGUAGGGCUCGGUACGGGUUAAGAAGUACUGAGUAGAUAUCUUCGGUCAAUCCAAAAUAGAAACUAAUAUACAAUGAAUAAAUACUAUAAAAUCAAUCACGACACUUAACAGGUUGCAAGCAACAAUAUUAACAGGUUGCAAGCAACAACACUAAAGUAAGUAUGCAAUCAAUCACAAUAUCAAGCACACAAAUGGGGACUCAUGCCUCCACCCCGCUCUCAUUUGGAAAAUGGGUUCUUUGAGAUAAACUACCUUAAGGUAAUCCAAUAUCCUUUUCGUUUGAUAUUAUUGUAUCGAAAUGUGACACUCCGAUUCAAUUAUACCAUGCCGGAAUGUGACACUCCAAUUCAAUAAUACCGUGUCGAAACGUGACACUCCGAUCCAAGAAUACCAUGUCGGUAUAUAACACUCCGACCCUAGAAUACCGUGCCGAAAUAUGACGCUCCGAUUCAAGCAUACCGUGUCGGAAUAUGACACUCCGAUCCAAUUAUACUGUGUCGAAAUGUGACACUCCAAUCCAAUUAUACCAUUAGUUUUCAUUUAUUAUCACCACUUUCAAUUCAUUGAUAAUAUUUCAUCAUUUUUUUUUAUUCAAGGCACCACUUUGAUAGAGGUUCAAGAAUAUUGAUUCCACGGUCUCUGGAUUUCAGACCAAUCACAAGACACACAACCAAGCCACACUACCACACAAUCAAGUACAUAGGAAACUUCACAAUAUCAUUCAACGCAUAUCAAUCACUAUUGAGAUCAUAUCUAUCAAAUAGAAUAAACCAUAACCUACCUCCACCGAAUAAUCGAAGUCAAGCAACUACUUCUCCAAUGUAUUUGCUUUCAUUCAUGCCUCUGAACCUUUCCAAUCUAUCAAUUAUGUGUGCAUAACUUGUAAGUUAACGAGUCUAUGAACACUCAUAUUAUUCUAUGUCUAAUCUAGUCCCAUAAACUCACCUAAUUCUAUAAUCAAUUUCAGAACAUUCAAGCCUAACGAUAAGUCUAAAUUCCUCCAAUUAGCAUAAUUUUGAUGAAAUUUAAAUAAUUCGAUACACCUAAUACUCAACUACCUAUAUCAAUAUAUUAAAUAUAGUUUAUGAUGUAAAAACAAAAUAUUAAUAUAUAAAAUUGAAAGCCAUUGGUCAUAAAACCAGUGACAUACAGACUAACAGCGACCCAAGCAAUCCAAACUACUCGUAAACUAUAAUACAUCGUACAAGAAAUAUGUAGAAACUUAUUGUAUCCUAAUUUUUCACUACAUUAACACAAGAUUUGUGCAGUUAUCUUUAGGCAAUCAUUAGGUAGUUAUUGAUUUUUUAAUUUGUUUUCUAAUUUAAUUUUUUAUUAAGUAAAUAAGUAUGUAUGUCAUGUCCCUCGUAUACCCACAUAUAAUAAUAAUAAUAAUAAUAAAUAUAAUAAUAAGAACUAUUCGAAAUCAAAAUUCACUGAUUUAAAAAACCAGUAGCAUACCACAUAAUGCAUUGUAGAACUAGCCUAUUUCUUUUUCAAUUUCAACAAUACAUUUAUAAUAUUAUCUUAUUUAGAUUCAUUUUUUAAUCAUCAAACAAUUUGCCCUUUUAUUCAAUCACAUCUUAUGCUUGUCCCCCAACUUUCCAAUAGUAACAAUACGCACACACCCAUUCAAUUUUAUAUCUAACAAAAUAACAAUAAUAUAAACUCUCGCCUAAAAUCAAAGUGCAUAAAAUUAUCUCUGGAAUUGGUGAUGUUUACCUAAUGCAUAAUCACUUCAAAUUGGUUUCGUUUCAGGCGCCGCUUUCUCUCGUUCUCCUCUUUAUCUAUUUUCUUUUCUACUAAUUAUUUACUAUCCUAGUUAUUAUAAGACUAAUUAUAAAAAUAGUGAAAGUGGUCAACAAUUAAUUCAAAUAUUAUUUUCCUUAACCACCAACUAAAUAAAUUAUAAAAAUUACCCCUUACUAUAUAGUUUUUGUCAAGAAUAGUUCAAAAUAUACAUUUAGGAUUUAUCGAAAGAUUCUUUUAUGAAAUAAUAAGCUCUAUCACUCAAACGACAAACUAGAUCGUUACAUUAAAUAUGUUUCAAAAAAUAUUUCCUAAUAAAUAUCCUUUUUAAUACAACUAUUUUUUUAUGAUAAAAAUAUUAUAACUCAUCAUUAAUUUUAAUAUAAAUUAUCAAAGUUAUCGGUCGUUAUUUUUUAUUUGAAUAUCGAUAAAAAAAAGUUCUAAUAAAAUAAGAAAAUUUCUUAUUUCUUAAUAUUUUCGAAUUGACGAAGGAUGCACAUUUACUAGUAUGAUCAUUGGAAUUAAAGUUCAACAAAUAAUGUCAUUAAACAUAAGGAGAAUUACUUUGCUUCAAAUAAAAAAAAAUCGAUAGAGUUAUUGUUGAUCAAUUUUAUCUCAAUUUAAAAUCAAGGAAUAUUAAGAAAAUAUUGACCCUAUUUCAAUUCGAGAAAGAUUAAAAAAUAAUAAUAUUUUCUAUUAUAUUAAAAAAAUUAAAUUGUUAUCUAAACAAAAAUUAGUGAUGAGUUGGUUGCUAUGAUCAUAUAUAUGUCAUAUAUUAAGUUGUAUAAAAAGUAUGUGGUAAUUCAGUUUUAAUUGAUGAAAAGAAUAUUAAGAAGAAACAAGACUAUUUUUCACUUGUUUAUUAGUUGAAUGGAUUUUCAAACUAAUAAAAAAAUUUCAUAAAAAAAAUAUUUUAUCAGGAAAAUAAUGUGCAAGAAAAAAAAUUAAUAUAUGUAAUUUAAAAAAGACACAUUUUAUACAUAAAAGUAACAAUAUGUAUAUUUUUUUUACCAAAUAAUCAAUGACAGACCAAUCUUAGACCAAAAUAUUGAUAAAAAGUCCAUUUUUAAAAUCAAACUAUUAAUGCGGGACAUUUUAUUCAAUUUAAUGUAUUUUAAGAAUUUUUUUUGUUAAUCUUUUUUCAUUUCAACACUUCCCGUCUUAAAUGAGUUAAUCAUCUUACUAAACAAUAAUUGUACCAUCUUCGUUGUCCACCUUACUAAAUUACGAAAAAAAUUAAUUAAUUUAUUUUAGAUUAUUCUUGUAAUUAAUUUUUUAUGAAAAGUGUUCACAUUAGUUUGUAAAAUUUUCAAGAAAUUUUUAAGGGGUAAAUUAGUAAAAUUUUCUUUUUGUUUAUGAUUUCUUAAUAUAUGUAUAAAAAUGACCAAUAAAUAUGAGACGGAGAGAUUAAUACAUAAUUAAUUAUAAUUAACGUCCAAACAUAUAAAAUGACUACGACAACCCAAUAAAUUUAUUUUUCUAAUAAAAAAAAUUUCUUGUUUUUCCAUAUUUUUGAAUGACGAAGGGUACACAUUUUCUAGUAUGAUCAUUGCUUUUAAAGUUCAAGUUAUUGUUUACAUUUUUUAUAUCAACUUUAAAACCAAAGAAUAUUUAGAAAAUAUAUCCUAUUUCAAUUUGAGAAUGAAUAAAAAAAUAAUAUUUUCUAUUUUAUUAACUAAACAAAAAUUAGUGAUGAGUUGAUUACUAUGUACAGCUUUCAUAUAUUAAGUAGUAUAUCAAAAGUAUAUGUGGUAAUUCAAUUUUAAUUGAUGAAAAGAAUAUUAAAAUGAAAUAAGAUUAUUUUUCAUUGAUAUAUUAGUUUAAGGGAUUUUCGAAGAAAGAAAAAAAUUCAUCAAAACAAUAUUUUACUAAGAAAUAAUGUGCUUAAAAUGAAAAAAAUAGUAUAUGUAGUCUGAAAAAAAAAAAAGGACAUUUAGUGCACAAAAGUAACAAUAUGCAUAUACUUUUUACCAAAGAACUAAUGACCAGACCAAUCUUAGACCAAAGUAUUGAUAAGAAGUGUGUUUUUAAAAUCAAGCUCUUAAUGGGGGACAUUUUAUUCAAUUACAUUAUUUUAUAAAUGCUUUUUUUUUUAUCUUUUUCGAUUUCAACACUUUCUUUGUCUCAUAUGAGUUGAUCAUCUUACUAAAAAUAAUUGUACUAUCUUAGUUGUCUACCUUACUAAAUCAAAAAAGCAUUAAUGACAAUUUUUCUAUAAUAUUCUUGUAAAAUUUUUUUUUAAGUGUUCAUAUUUGUUUAUAAAAUAUUCAAGACGUUUUUUAAGGGAUAAAUUAAUAAAAUUAUCUUUUUGUUUAUCAUUUCUUAAUAUGGACAUAAAAAAUGUUCAACUAAUAUGAGACAUAGAGAGUAAUACAUAAUUAUACAUAAUUAAUGUCCAAACGUAUAAAAUGGUCAACAACACAAUAAAGCGAAUCAAAAAGAAAAAAUUACUUGGAUGGUGUCUUUUAAUAGAUAAUUAUUGAUUUUAGCGAAACUUUUUAUUUAUUAUCAUUUAUAACAAUACAUAAUAAUACUAUGUUAAAUCUGCAAUAUGUAUUAAACGUGAAUUAUGUAUGUAAUAUAUAUGUAUUAUAACUGUUUUUAAAAAUAUAUUAUUCUUGUUUGUUAAGAAGUUGACAUAUUGUAUUAUAAGUGUAUUAAAAUAUGUGAUAAAUGUAUUCUUCAUCAAUAAAAUUUGUAUUAUAUGUGAAUAAUAAAUUAUUCUUUUAAUAUAUACUAAAACUAUAAUACAAAUGUAAUAAGUGAUCAAGUGGGAAAAAUAUUAUUGCUAUGGAUGAUAAAUAUUUUUAUUAAUGUAUUAUAUUUAUGUAAGUUUUCCAGAAAAAGGAUUAGCCCCAAAAAGCGGCCCAGAUCCAUCUUAGGCAUAAACAAAAAAAAGAUAGACAAAUUACAAAAAUACACAUAUUUUGCUUCACUUAUUUCUGUUAUCCUCUAUUAUUUUUAAAAAUUUCCAAAAUCUUUUUUUUAUGUAUCCGAGCUGCAUAUUAAUGUAUCUGAGCUAGUUUUUAAUAUAUUUGAGCUAGUUUUUAAUAUCUCCGAACUAGAUAUUAAUGUAUUCCAGCUAGUAUUUAAUGUAUCAGAGGUAGUUUUUAAUGUAUCAGACCAACAUAUUAAUGUAGCAGAAACAAUAUUUAUUGUAUCCGAGCUACAUAUUAAUAUAUUCGAGCUACAUAUUAAUGUAUCAGAGCUUCAAUUAUUGUAUCCAUUUUUAAAAAUAUUUAAGAAAUUAAUGUAAUUAGAAACUUAUUAGGAAUAUAUUGUAAUUUCAAAUUAAAACUAUGAUAUUUAUGUAAAAAAAUUUGCAAAUAUUGAUCCAAAAAAGAGAAAGACAUUGAAAAGGAAACAUUUGGACACCGUUUAGUAUUAUAAAUAUAGAGUGAUUUUAAAAUGAAGCUAAAUUUUUUUAAUCAAAAGUCAAAACUAUCUUCUUCUUUUUGUCAAUAUUUUGGUCAAACAAGCCCUAAUAAAAGGUAUUUUUUUAUGAUAAAAAUAUUAUAACUCAUCAUUAAUUUUAAUAUAAAAUAUCAAAGUUAUCUAUCAUUAUUUUUAUCACAGCCCAAAAUGACCGUGAUGACAAUCGUCUUAUCCCACCAAGACAAGUCAGCCUAAAACUCAACUAUUUAAUAAAAUGCGAAAAAUUUACUACCAACUUAAAUUACACCCUAAAACCUGGUUGUCACGUGUACAAGCCUCUAAAGUAUUACAAGUAAAUUAAAAGAAAGUUUAAGUCUCAAAUGACCUUGUUUCUCGAAUAGAACAAGAUCAUAAAUAGGAUUAAGAAGGUCUGCUGAAAUGACAAGCAACUACCUCAUAAACCUCCAUAAGAGUCUCAGGCGAGGGGAAGAGAAAUAUCAAAAUGGUCUAGGUUAGCAACUUAGAAAAAAAAUGUAGGUAUAAGAGGUGAGUAUCAAACCACACAGUAUUCACCAAGUAUACCUCUAAACACAAGUUAAGGGGAUAAAAUACGGGUACUCCUUAAACCCCAACCAGACCUCCACAACUAUAAGUUGCAUAAAAUCAUUCCAACCUAACAAUUGAUCAAUCAUAAGCACACAUCUCAACAACAAGCUCAAUAUUCAUCAAUUAAACCCCCCCCCUCACACACACACAAAAAGGCACUCACAAUAUCAGCAACACACAAGAUCAAGUUCAUCAAAUAAAGGUAACCAAUUAUCAAGUACUUUCCAAACACCAAUAAAAUACAUAAUCAUAAAGAAUGAAGGAUUUCAUGGUAUGCAACGCAAUAUGACACCAUGAAAUAGUAUGCCUCGAAAUAUCAAUUACUCUCUCAACCGUAUAUACAUAAUACUCCUCGAAAAUACAUCUGACUGGCGAGGUCCAUAUACCGACACAGACGAUCUUCACGUGUCUGUGCGAACGAUCUCAAUGCACCAUCAUAAAAGUAAACAAUUGUCAGCACGGACGAUCUCCACGUGUCCAAAUUAUAAUCUAACUUGAUCUGAACACGGAUAUUCUUCACGUGUUAGACCUUUGCUGAUACCUAAUAUCAUGUGAAUGCAUGUGCACAAUAUGAUAUCAAAUAAAGGGGAUGAUACAACAUCUCUAUAAAUCAAAUGUCGUUAUGAGAUAUAAUCACCUCAAUUAUCACAUUUAUACGGGUUCGGUAAAGAACACAAUGCCACAUAAUAAAUAAUUUAAUAAUAUAUCAGCUAAUGCCCAUAUGAUUUGACAUUGUAGGAUUACAAUCCACAUUCUAUAGUAAUUAACUUUUCCUUUUAUAACACAUGUACUCGUACCAUUAUCAACAAAUCACACACAGCCAUUUAAUUGCAUUAUCAUUUAUCACCCCUUUUCAUCAUUAAAAUUGAUCAAUGUGGACAAGUCAACCCUUCAUUAAGUCCCAUUACUUCCAAACAGAUACCACAAGAAAAUAGACGAAUUUCAUACACUUAACAAGAGUUUAGAAAUCUAUUUGUCUCAAAUAGUCGAAGCAUCACUCUGAGACUCGAGUCUUCCCUUUUUCUUGUACUUCCAACUCAAAGUAGUCUAUUCACAUUAAUAAUCAUAAUAAAGUUUCAAAACUAACAAUACCCAUAUUAUUAUGGGUCUAGCCUUGACCCAAAAAUUCACUCAAAUUUAUAAUCAAGUUCCUAAAUGCUGAUGUCAACUAACAUUUUAACUAUCAUAUUUUUCAAGUUUUAAGCAUAAGUUAAGUAUCAUUUUUCCAUUGACCCCAAUAUAACAAAUUCAAAAAAAAUCUUUUCAACAAAAUUUAACCUUGAUGAUUACCCACCCAACUCCAAAUUACUCUUACUUAAUUACUCCAUUUAUUUCAAAAAUAAAGUAAAAUCAUAUGUUUAGCAAGCUAUAACAAGAAACUAUUUAAUACUGAUUCUUUUUCUUCCUUUAUCAAAUUAAAUUCUUAUAAAAACAAUUACUAGCUUAUAAUUGCUAAUGAUUGCUUCUUAAUUACACUACUUCCUUAUCCCAGGUUUCAGCCGUCAUUUUCAACAAAUGGUCAUUCAAUUCACCCUUACAAUUUGAUAAUUAAUUUCUCUAACACACUACAUAUCUAUACAUAUUAUAUUGUAAAUUAUACAUGGUGCAUGUCGUUACUUGGAAAAUUUAGACACAACAUUUAUAUACCUGGUGCUCGUAGUUUUUCUUAUGGCGCAACCUUACCUUCGUCUGCUCCUUCUUUUUCUUUUUCAAACUAAUUAGCUACUAAAAGUGAUAGAUUUUUACUCACUUAUGUUAUUAUAUAUGGGUCGAGACUUGUCCCAUUAACCAUCACUAAUAAAAAUGAAUUAAUUUAAUAAAUAUAAACCAAUUAUAUAAUCUAGUUAUCGAAUAGUUCAAAUUUCCAAAUCAACUUCAUUGAUCAAUCAAAAAGGAUUCGAGGCAAAUAUUGGGAUGGAUAAAAUUAUAAUUUUAUGAAAUUUCUAAAAUUGACUUUAUGGGUCAUUAUAAUUUUUCAUUUGAAGACCGAUAAAAAAAUAUUCCUAAUAAAAUAAGAAAAUUUCUUAUUUCUAAAUAUUUUCGAAUUAACAAAGAAUACACAUUUACUAGUAUGUUCAUUGAUUUUAAAGUUCAAUAAAUAUUGGCAUUAAACAUAAAAAGAAUUACAUUGGUUCAAAUAAAAAAAGAAACAGGACAGAUAUACCUCCAAAUUUUCUUAAAUGGUAUGCAUAUACCCUUUGUUAUACUUUUAGGACGCCAGUACCCUUGCCAUCCAAAUUUUGGUGCAUAUAUAUAUCCCUUAAGUAAAUGGUGAUACAUGUGUCUUGAUCUUAACCACCGAUAUGAUAUUUAUUAAAUUUCUACCCAAAAUUUAAAAAAAUCACCUGAACUAUUCUAAAACUCCGCCCAAAUACAUAAUACCCAUAACCCAAAAAUAUCAACCCAAAUCCCCAAAUCAAUUUACUGAAUUUCCUAGGUGACAUCUAAAUUGCCACGUAUCCUUAUUGUCUUAUUUUUCAACAUUUUCCCAGUUUGCGAAUACAAUUUCCGCUAACUUUUGUGCAUACGACUGUUUGUCAACGCAAAAAUUGAAGCAGGGAACUAAAAAUUAGCCAACAGAUAGCAGAUACAUGAAAAUCAAGAAUUAAAAAAUUAUAAAGGAUAUUUUUGUAUUUUUAAAUUUUAUAUGUAAUCCCUUACUUUAUUUUUCUUAUAAUCUCUUGAAAGAGACUUUUCUAAUCUAGUUCACAUAUAAGUAUUCAUAUGCCUUUGCCAUUAAUAUCUUCUUCUUAUUUUUGUAAGUUUGAUAUUUACAUUGAGAUAUCAAAAAUUUGUGAAGUUUUUGGAGAGUUUAUUCAGUGAGGUUUUAUCAAGUAUAAUGAUUGUGAUGAGUAAAUAAUAGAUUUAGUUAUAGAGAAUGAUCAAGUGAGUCAAGGCAAAGGAAGUUUGAGAAAAUGGAGAUGAUUCUGGGAAUGAAGAUUAACUGAGUUGGGGAUUUGGGUGGAUAUUUUUGGGUUAUUGGUAUUAUGUAUUUGGGCGGGUUUUUAAAUUAAUUCGGAUGAAGUUUUUUUUAAUUUUGGACAGAAAUUUAACAAAUAUCAUAUCAAUAGUUAAGAUCAAGACACGUGUACCACCGUUAACUCAAAGGAUAUAUAUGCAUCAAAAUUUUGACGGGUACUGGCAUCCUAAAAGUAUAACGAAGGGUAUACACAUACCAUUUAUGAAAGUUAGGGGGCAUAUUUUUCUUUUUUCCCAAUAAAAAAUAUCUUCGAUGGAGUUAUUGUUGAUCAUUUUCUAUAUCAACUUUAAAAUUGUCACGACCCAAAUUGAGCCGUGAGUGGCACCCACAUUUAUCCUUCUAUGUGAGCGAACCAACCAACCUAAACCCCAAUCAUUUACCAAUAAUAAACAGAAAAUAAUGCGGAAGACUUAAAACUCAUUAACGAAAUCAAUUAAUAACUUCUAAAAUUUAUCAAUUAAUAUCCCCAAAAUCUGGAAGUCAUCAUCACAAGAACAUCUAUCCUCAAAUUACUAAGACUAAGAGUAUCUAAGAAACUAAACAUAAAUAAAAAGCUAGUCCAUGCUAGAACUUCAAGGCAUCAAGACAUGAAGAAGAAGAUUCAGUCCAAGCUAGAAUCUUUAGCUCACCCUAAAAUCCGGUGUAAUGAAGACUGGCUAGAGUUGCGGUUGAGUUGAAGACGACGGCACGUUUGCUGCACUCCACAAAUAACAAGGAAAGAAACAUGCAAGUAGGGGUCAGUACAAAACACGGGUACAGAGUAGAUAUCAUCGGCCAACUCAAAAUAGAAAACAGUAUAUAUCAUAUCAUAUCAUAAAUCAACUACAAUACUCAAUCUGUAGCAACAACAUGUACAAGAAUAUCUGAUAAACAACGUCAAGUACACUCAUGAUGACUCAAGCCUCCAUAUCAUACUCAUUUGGGAAAUAGGUUCUUUUCAUUCAAAUUUAUUAACAUAAUUUCAAGAUUCAUUAUCUUUAUUCCUCUUGUGUCGGUACGUGACACUCCGAUCCUCAUCAUACUAUCCUGGUGUCGGAACGUGACACUCCGAUCCCCUAAUUCUACGUGUCGGUUCAUGAUACCCGAUCCCCUAAUUCUACGUGUCGGUUCGUGACACCCGAUCCCCUAAUUCUACGUGUCGGUUCGUGACACCCGAUCCCCUAAUUCUACGUGUCGGUUUGUGACACCCGAUCCCCUAAUUCUACGUGUCGCUUUGUGACACCCGAUUCCCUAAUUUUACGUGUCGGUUCGUGACACCCGAUCCCCUAAUUCUACGUGUCGGUUCGUGACACCCGCUCCACUAAUCUCAUCUGUUAAUUCAUCAAUCCUUCUUUUAUAUCAAGGCAUCAUCAAUCUCAUUACUUUAGUUCAUCAAGUCUUCUUUCAUACUAAGGCAUCAUCAAUCUCAUUACUUUAGUUCAUCAAGCCUUAUUUCAUACUAAAUCAUCAUCAUUAACAAAGAGCUUUUUCAAGAUUUAGGAUUCAAUAGCCUCAUCAUGCUUAUUUUAUCACAAUUACAUAAUCAAAUUCAUGCAAGCAUACAAUUAAGCAUAUAGAAGGGUUUACAACACUACCCAAUACAUAUCAUUCGCUAAGAGUUUACUACGAAUAGCAUAAAAAUCAUAACCUACCUCCACCGAAGAUUCGUGAUCAAGCAAGCAAUUUCCCCAAAGCUUUGCUAUCCUCUUCGUUUCUCUCUCUCUUGAUCGAUUCUUCUCCCUCUCCUUGUUCUUUCUAUUUUUCUUAUUCAAACCCUCUUUCUUUUACCCUAAUUAGCAUAUAAUUAAGUAUAAAAGAUGGCAAUAGUAACCCACUAAUUAACUCAAGGUUACCUCUUUUAACCCCCAAGUAAUUGAGUUAUUAAUAUUAAACCACUAACUUUAUAAUUAAAGCAGGAAUAGUCCAAAACACCCCUUAAAAUAUUUACAGAAAUCCGACCCAGCCUGGGAUUACGCAGUCUGCGACGGUCUGUCCUGCAGGUCCGUCGCAAGGUUCAGAGAGUUAUUUUCUGUGGAAGAUGUGUGACGGUCCGUCGUGCCUACGACAGUCCGUCCUGCCAUUCCGUUACGAAGUUCAGAGAGUCGAUUUCAGUACCCAAAUUUCAGAAUUCUAAGUGUUUUGGAACGAGACCCCCACGACGGUCCGUCGUGCCCAUGACGGUUCGUCGUGGGAUCCGUCGACUUAGCCAGUUUUUCAAGAAAUAAAAUCUGCUGCUCAAAAUGACUAAACAAGUCGUUACAAUAGAUACCAAUUUACCCAUCGUUCAUCCUCGAACGAUCACAAGAAGAAAAACAAGGGCAAAAGGGAGUACCUGAAUCUGUAAACAGGAGUGGGUAUCUUUCUUUCAUAUCUGUCUCCUUCUCCCUAGUGGCUUCUUCAACCGGCCGAUUCUUCCAUUGAACUUUGGUAGAUGCAAUUUCCCUUGACCUCAGCUUGCGGACUUCUCUAUCUAGAAUAGCAACAGACUCCUCCUCAUAAGACAAAUUCUCAUCAAGCAGAACUGAAUCCCAACGAAUAAUGUAGUUUCCAUCCCCAUGGUAUCUUUCAACAUAGACACAUGAAAUACCGGUUGUACUCCGGACAGCCCUGGAGGCAAGGCUAACUCAUAAGCCACCUCCCCUACUCACUUAAGUACUUCAAAGGGACUAAUAUACCUUGGGCUUAGUUUACCUCUUUUACCAAACCGCAUCACCCCUUUCAUGGGUGAAAUCCUCAGCAAGACUUGUUCACCCUCCAUGAACUCCAAGUCUCUAACCUUUCGAUCUGCAUAUUCCUUUUGCCUACUUUGCGCCGCUAAGCUUUUCUUGAAUAGAUUUAACUUUAUCUAAUGAAUCCCUCAAAAGGUCAGUACCCCAAGGUCUAACCUCAAAUGCAUCAAACCAACCAAUGGGAGACCUACAUCUCCUCCCAUACAAUGCUUCGAAUGGAGCCAUAUCAAUACUUGAGUGAUAGCUAUUGUUGUAUGAGAACUCUGCUAAGGGUAAGAAGUUAUCCCAAUGACCACCAAAUUCUAUCACACAUGCACGAAGCAUAUCCUCCAAAACUUGAUUCGUUCGCUCAGACUGACCAUCGGUCUGAGGAUGGAACGCAGUACUAAGAUCCAACCUAGUACCUAAUUCAGCAUGCAAUGUUCUCCAAAACUUAGAAAUAAACUGCGUACCUCUAUCUAAUAUGAUGGAGAGGGGAACUCCAUGCAAUCGAACGAUUUGUGAGAUAUAGAUUCUGGCUAACUUCUCUGCAUUGUAGGUCACCUUGACCGGAAUGAAGUGAGCAGACAUAGUUAACCUAUCAACGAUUACCCAAAUGGAGCCAAACUUCCCCAAUGUCUUUGGAAGACCAACCACGAAGUCCAUUGCAAUUCUCUCCCACUUCCAUUUAGGAAUGGGCAUUCUCUGAAGUGUUCCUCCGGGCCUCUGGUGUUCAUACUUUACUUGCUGACAAUUUGGACAUUUGGCAACAAAAUCAACAAUGUCGCACUUCAUUCUACUCCACCAAAAGUGUUGCUUUAGGUCACGGUACAUCUUGGUUGCACCAGGAUGUAUAGAAUAUCCGGAACUAUGAGCCUCUGUAAGAAUAGUGUGGAUCAAAUCAUCAACACGGGGCACACAUACCCUUCCCUUAAUUCUCAAAACACCUUCUUCAUCCAUUAUUGCUUCUUUAGCCUCUCCUCGCAACACCAUAUCCCGAAUUCGGCUUAGUUUCUCAUCAUCAAACUGUUUCCCCUUGAUCUUGUCAAGAAAAGAAGAUCUUGCCUCCACACUGGCCAAAAACCCUCCCUUCUCAUUUACUUCUAACCUCAUAAAGUCAUUAGCCAGAGUCUGAACCUCUCUGGCCAAUGGAUGUCUAGAAACUUGCAAGUGGGCUAGACUUCCCAUGCUCCCUGCCUUUCUACUUAAGGGAUCUGCCACAACAUUAGCCUUUCCCAGAUGAUACAAGAUAGUGAUGUCAUAAUCUUUCAGUAGUUGCAUCUAACUUCUCUGUCUUAAAUUCAAAUCCUUCUGAGUAAAGACAUACUGUAGGCUACGAUGAUCCGUACGUGAGAUUUUCACCUCAUACGGCUCCUCAGAGGUCACAACUAAAUCUAAGGGCCCUUUCCUAUUCUUUAUCUUGAUAUGUUUGUCAGAUAGAGUCAAAAUCUAUUCUAAGGUCCCAAAUUAGACCAAUGGAAUUCUGUCUGCUAUAUUUAAAACUAAUAAAUAAGUGCUUCUGAAUUUAUCUCAUCUUUUAAGAAUUUUAAUUUUUCUUUGUUGAUUAAUAACCUUAUCAUUAAAUAAAAAAAUGUGCUUUAUAGCAAUAUCACAUAUACAUUUCAACCUCGAAUUUUCAAUUACGAAAAAAAUUAGAGAGUACAUUAGUUCAUGAAUCAUGACAAAAAUUUUAUCUCUCUAAAUAGAAAUAAAAAUUGAAUUAUAGGAAAGAAAGAAUAAAAACAAAAAAAGACAUCCCUCCUUUUUCCUUUUGCAAUUAGCUUCUUUUCUUUCUAUUUCGAUUUUUUUAUUUCAUUCCUAUUCUCCUUUCUCAGAAAAAGGGUCUUUAACCAAAGUAAAAGAUUACUUCGUUCUUGAUAGUUAGUUACUUACUCAGUGGAUAGGAACAUACUCUGGAUCAGAAUCAUGGGGAGUACUUCUUGAUCAUUUCUACGAAUGUAAAGCCCCAAUUUGAAUUCCUUUUAUGUACAGAAAUAUCCUCUUGGAUAACUUACAUAAUCUCAAUUACUAAUCCUUUGUGUAUCUUAGUCUUCCUAACCAUCCACUCAUUUUUUGUUUCAAAAACCUCCCGUUGUGGAAAUCCAUCUAUGGUAAUAGACAGUAAAAACUCCAUAGAGUUGGUCUUUUGAACCCGCUUCAAGCUAUCAUGACAAUUCACGAAUCUUGGGGUAAACAAUCUCUCUUGCUUAUGUUUACUUUUUUCACCAUUUGAUUCUUGUACAUAGGAAAUGAGACUCAACUUUUUUACUGCAAAUUUAAAAGCCGUUUUCUUUCACUCAUAUAACUAUCUGAUUUAGUUCAUCAACUCAAAUGCUGAAGAAAAAAAUAUAUAUAAUCAAUCAAAUCUUUUUAUCCUUGUUUCUAGAAAGAAAAGAAUUUGGAUAAAUUUUAGGUCUCACCGAAUCACACGUAGAGAUAUUGAUAACACACAUAGAGCUAAUGGUAUUUCAUAACUAAUUGAUUGAGCAGCUGCCCGUAGACCACCUAAAAAGGAAUAUUUAUUAUUUGAUCCAUACCCCGACAUAAGAAGUCCAACGGGAGCAAUACUUGAAAUGGCAAUCCAAAAAAAAAACACUAAUACUAAGAUCGGCUAGAACAAGGUGAUAACCAAAAGGAAUUACUGAAUAACUUAGAAAGAUAGAUAUUACUACUAUGGAUGGUCCGAUACUGAAUAAACGAGUAUCUCCUGUAGAUGAAAUAAGGUUCUCUUUCAAAAGUAGUUUUGUCCCAUCUGCUAGAGCUUGAAGAAUUCCUAACGGGCCGGCAUAUUCAGGCCCAAUACGUUGUUGUAUUCCUGCAGAUAUUUCUCUUUCUAACCAAACAAUUACUAGUACACCUAUUGUGAUUCCUAAUACAAGAGUCACAAUAGGGACAAGCAUCCAUAUGAUCCCAUAGACUUCUUUUAAGGAUUCCAAUUUGGAAAAAGAAUUGAUAGUCUCUAUUUCUGUUGUAUCAAUUAUCAUUUCAACGAUCAACUUCUCCCAUAAUGAUAUCUAUGCUACCUAGUAUUGUCAUAAUAUCAGCCAAUUUCAUUCUUUUAACUAACUGAGGAAGAAUUUGCAAAUUGAUAAAACCUGGUGGGCGAAUUUUCCAUCUCCAAGGAAAAACGCUCUGAUCUCCUAUCAGAAAAAUCCCCAAUUCUCCUUUUGGGGCUUCAACUCUCACAUAAAGUUCUUGUUUCGACAAUUCAAAAGUUGGAGAAGGCUUUUUACUAAUAAACCGAUAUUCAAAAUCAUUCCAUUCAGGAUCUUUUAAUCUGUCAAAAUGUCGCAUUUCUAAAUUUUCGUAAGGCCCUCCUGGAAUUCCUUCCAGAGCCUGUUGAAUAAUCUUUAUGGAUUCUGUCAUUUCACCGAUUCGUACUAAAUAACGAGCUAAUGAAUCCCCUUCUCGUUGCCAUUGAACCUGCCAAUCAAAUUCGUCGUAAGACUCAUAAUGAUCAACUUUACGAAGAUCCCAUUCUAUUCCGGAAGCUCGUAGCAUUGGUCCCGAUAAACCCCAAUUUAAUGCCUCGUCUCUCCCAAUAAUGCCUACGCCUUCAACUCGUUCUAAAAAAAUAGGAUUCCGAGUAAUAAGUUUUUGAUACUCAGCAACCCCUGUUAAAAAAUAAUCGCAAAAAUCCAAACAUUUAUCUAUCCAGCCAUAGGGUAGAUCGGCAGCCACUCCUCCAAUCCUAAAAUAAUUAUGCAUCAUUCGCAUACCGGUGGCAGCUUCGAAUAGGUCAUAUAUCAAUUCUCCUUCUCUAAAAAUAUAGAAGAAAGGGGUCUGUGCACCAAUAUCUGCCAUAAAAGGACCGAGCCAUAACAAAUGAGAAGCUAUCCGACUCAACUCCAACAUAAUGACUCUGAUAUAGCUAGCCCUUUUAGGUACUUGAAUAUUGCCUAAUUGUUCGGGUCCAUUUAUGGUUAUUGCUUCUGUGAACAUAGUAGCUAAAUAAUCCCAACGUGUUACAUAAGGCAAAUAUUGUAUAAUUGUUCGGUUUUCCACAAUUUUCUCCAUCCCUCUAUGUAAAUAACCCAAUAUUGGUUCGCAGUCGACAACAUCUUCACCAUCUAGAGUAACGAUGAGUCGAAGAACACCGUGCAUUGAUGGGUGCUGAGGCCCCAUAUUGACUAUCAUGAGGUCUUUUCUUGUAGUUGGUGCAGUCAUAAGUUUUUUAACGAUUCAUUCUUCCAUGAAUUACUGAAAGUGAAAAGAAGUUCAUCAAAAUAUAAUCGAAACAUAUAAGUGAAAAUGAAAUAACUCUUCAAAUUAAUCAAAUUAACGAGUUUUUGUCUCUCGAAUGUCCAACCGAUUAAUUAAUUCUUUAUAACGUACUCUAUUUUUUUUGCCAAAUAAGCUAGCAGUCGUUGACGUUUUCCCAAAAUUUUCUUCAAACCUCUCUGAGAUAAAUAGUCUUUUUUGUGCAAUUCUAAAUGUGAAGUAAGUCUUCGUAUCUUAUUGGUGAAAUUGAAUACUUGAAAUUCAACAGAUCCUUUCUUUUCUUCUUGAGAAAUAACUGAAAUGACAGAAUUUUUUACCAUAAAUGAAUUUCCCCUUUCUUUAUUUUACAGAUAUGGAUUUUUUUGAAUUUUAUUGAUCAGUAAUAAUAAUGCCAGUAAUUUAAACGUGGUAUAUAGACUUAAUUUCUUUAUGAACCUCUAAUUUUAGCAAUUCCAAUAAAUUAAUCAAAUUUGAAAUUUGAUUCAGAUAGGAAUCUAAAAAGACGGUAGGUACGUUUUUUUUUAAUCACAAAAGCGAAUAAUUGAAACCUAAAAUCCUAAAAUGAAGAAGAUUCUGUUGAUUCAUUUCUAGAUCUAAUCAAUACCUUAUUUUAUUGAUUUAGUAUUGUCUACUCGAAUUAGAUUCGAAUGAGAUGUAAAACAAGGCAUGUUUGCAUUUAUUUGCUUUCAGAUACUCUAUACGAGACAGGGUAUAUAGUACUAUCAAUUAAUUUUCAAUCGUGGAUACAUAUGUAUCCUUAAGAUACUGAAACGGCUACCAUUAUUGGUAUCAAACCAAUAACGAUUCAUACAAGCUAAAUCUUCUAAUCGAUAAUUAGGCCAAAAAAGAACUUAAAUUUAAUUAAUUCAUUUUUAUCUUUAUAAAGGGGUUUCCGUUCACCCAAAAAUUGACUCCAGUUUUUUACAUUGGUUUCGUUGCAAAAUACUGAAUUUCUAUCGACGAUAUUCCAAUUCCAAGAAUUAAAAAAACUUCGAAUUCUCAACUCUCUACGACGUCUAGACCAUAAAAUAUUUUCAGGAACAAGCAAACCAAAAUGAGUUUUUUCUAUAUUUAUUCUUUGAGUUUGAGGUUGCAGAAUGAAUUCGUGAAAAUUCUUUUUAUCAACAUAUCUUUGUUCUCUGUAUCUUUGAUUAGUUUGGUGUUUACUUUUAUGAACCAAUGAAAUACCUAUGGUUUGAUACAUAAUAAAUUGUCCAUUAUCUUUUACAGACAACCGAAUAGGUUCGAUAAUCAAUACCCCCUUCUUCAUCAAGUCUGUAAGAGGUAAAUUUGCCUGAAUCAGCAUUAUAUCCAAACUCAUUUCUCUCCUUUGAAUUGACGAUAUAGUAAUUUUGGUUGGAUUUAUCAGUCGAAGCAGGAGACAAUAUACCUUGAUAUUUUCGAACAUUCUUUGAUUCAAAGCACCGUUCCAUCUCAAUUGAAAAAGCAAAUAACGUUUCAAGAACAAAUCUAGUUCUGCUUCCGUGUUGCUUUUGUAUUAUUUUUUAUUUUUACCCUUUUUUGUGUCUGAUUCCACGUAAUCUUUUUCAAGAUCGGUUUGAUGUUUUGAAAAAACAGGGCUCAAAUUUCCUUUGUUUUCUAUAUCUGAUCCACGCUCUCUUUGACUUGGGGGUUCUUUUGCUUCUUGACUUCGAUUCUUUAUUUUUAUUUUUUUAUUUGAUGGUAGAAAAAAGUUUUGAUUUUUAUUUUGACUAACAUUUUUAUUUGUAUUCAAAUUAAAAAGAAGGAAUUUGCUUGGUAUAAUCCACUGUUUUAUUUUAUAGACAUUAUAAAGUAGUACAAAUUCUGGGAAGAACCAAAAUUCCAGAUUCAAUAUGGGACGAUUAAAUAUUUUUUCAUUCAUUCCCAUCCAAUCAAAAAAGACUUUUUUCGAAUUUUUUUGAGUUUUUUCUGGAUUUUGAUGAGUUGUAAGAUAAAAAACCCCCUUUUUCUCAAUUUUAUCAAUUAUUUGAUAAUUACUAAUACCAAUUUUAGUAUUUGGAUUACUGUUGGUAUUGAUCUUAACCCAGGCUUCAAUAUCUCCUUUUUGUCUAAGAGAAAAAUGGAUAAUUUUCCAAUCAAAAUAUUUUCUAUCGAGAUUUCUUUCUCUAUCUAGAAUAUUGCCCUUUCUUAGAUAAUUAUUGAUAUGAAGAUUGCCGGGCAUAUCAACAAAGUUGUGUUUGGACGUGUUGGAAUUAUACGAAAUUUCUAAGUUCUUCUUUACUUGAACUUCAAAGGGUAAUCUAGAAAAAAAUGAGUCACUUUUAUUUUCAUAAUUAAUCGAUUUAUAUGCUAAAAGACCAUAUCCAUAACAUUUUUUAAAAUUAUCUUUUUCGUUUGAUAAUGAAUAGAGUUCCAAAUCAUUUUCUUUUUUGUAAUGAAGUAAUUGGUCUUUUUCAUAUGAAUUCCAUUUGUUUAAGUUUCUAUUUUUAUUUUGAGCCAUACAACUUUGAUUAACCCUAGUUCGCCAUUUUUUUGGCAUUAAUCUAGACCAUCUAAUCUGAGAUAAAUCGUAUUGAUAAUGCCAUCUUAACCAGUUUUUCCAUUGAUUUAUUCUAUAACCCUGAAGUUUCUUAUGUUUUAAUUCCGAAUGAAAUAUUCCUAGUGUUUUAAAAUAGUCCUUUAUUUUAGUCUUAAGGAAACAAGACGUUGUGUUAUAUAGAAGAACAGAUCUAAAUUUAGAAAAAUUAAUAACUUGGGUUUGUGAUAAUUUGUAAAAUACAUAUGCUUGUGACAAGUAGGAUAAAUCACACAAAAUAUGUGAAUUUUUCUUACUAAUAUUAUAAAGUGACUUUUUUAUAGUCGAAAUAAACAUAAAGUGAAUUUUUUUUUAUUAUUAAUUUUUUCUUGAUUUAUUUCAUUAUUGGAGAUGAAUUUCUCAAUCAAUUUGUUUGUUGAUUUAAGAAAGAGUUGUGUAGUAAUUCUAGGAAUAUUAAUGAUAGAUAAAAAUAAAUUUAUGUAUAAUCUUUGAAUGAAUAAUUUUAGAAAAUAAUGGAAUUUCCAUAUUACUCGAGUAUUUCUGCUUUUUAAUAUUUGGAAAAUUUUUUUUGGCGAUUCGAAUUUUUUAAUAUUAUUUGUUUUAUUAGGAUUAAUGUCUAUUUCUAGAGUUACUUUCUUUUUC